rnacentral:lncRNA from 1 species
ACACAAACACUGUGAAGGCAAAUGGUGUAUCUCAAGAUGCAAUAAGACUACACCUUUUCCUUUCUCUCUAAGAGACAGCGCUUGGGCUUGGUUGCAAUCCUUGCCAUCCAACUCAGUUACAACAUGGGAAGAACUGAAGAACGUUUUCUUAUCCCAAUAUUUUCCGCCAAGCAAAACUGCUAUGCUGAGAGCUCAAAUCAACAGAUUUUGACAAAAGGAUGUAGAAUCUCUCUACGAUACGUGGAAGAGAUACAAAGACAUGAUGAGGAUAUGUCCACAUCAUGGUCUCUAAGAUUGGGUGAUCAUUCACACAUUUUACAAUGGGCUUCUGUAUAACACAAGACUGACAGUAAACGCUGCCGCGGGCGGUGCACUUAUGGACAAGCCAUAUAACAAAGCCUAUCAACUCAUUGAAAACAUGGCCCAAAACCAUUGCCAAUAGGGAGGUGAAAGAACUCCAGUAGAAAAGUCCCAAACAAAGAGUGGAAUGUACGAAAUCAGUAGCCUUGACCAUGUCCAUUCAAAGGUAGAUGCCCUUGUCCAAAAGUUAGACAACUUAACCAUACCAUCCGCAGCCACCGUGGCUGCCGUGACUCCAAACUGUGAGUUAUGUGGAACUCCUGGACACACUGCACCAGAGUGUCAGAUAUUAGCAGGAGUCCCAACUGAUCAAGUGAAUUACGAACAAGGAAAUCCUUAUUCGAAUACCUAUAACCCAAGUUGGAAAAAUCAUCCUAACUUUUCGUAUAAGAAUAACAACACCCUGUAUGCACCUGGCCAAGCACCCGCUGUUCCGCCUGGAUAUCAAAAGCCAGCUAAUAAUGCUCCUAACAUGCCUAGGAAGUCCAACCUUGAACUAAUGAUGGAAAGCUUCAUAGCUACCCAAGCUCAGAGAAACAAAGACUUCUUGAACCAAAACAUACAUACUAGUGAGCAACUUAAACAAUUAGCGAGCAAAGUAGACACUUUAGCCACCCACAACAAAAUGCUUGAAACACAGAUUUCACAAGUGGCUCAACAACAAGCAUCUACUGCCGCUCCCGCUAGCAUAUUUCCUGGACAACCGCAACCUAAUCCAAAAGGACAUGCAAAUGGCGUUAUACUGAGGAGUGGAAAAGAACUAGACGCACCCAUAGAUCCAAGACUCCAAAAUCCUGCCAUGUACCAAAAACCAAACAAAACAAUAACUGAGGAGGUAAGUGAACCGAAGGAGAAGGAAGAUAAUACCUGAGAGGCUGAAGAGAAAGAAAAACCUUAUGUGCCUCCACCGUCUUAUAAACCACCCAUUCCGUAUCCUCAAAGACUCGCAAAUCCUAAAACUGUAGGGCAAUUUAGGAAAUUUGUUGAACUUCUGAAAGCAACUAAACAUUACAAUUCCCUUUACAGAAGCCAUCACACAAAUGCCCUCAUAUGCCAAAUUUCUUAAAGAGAUCUUAUCCAAUAAGAAAAAGGUCGAGGAUAAUGAAAUAGUUACACUUACCGUUGAGUGUAGCGCAAUAAUCUAAAAUAACAUGCCUCCCAAACUAAAAGACCCAGGUAGUUUCUCCAUACCCUGUGUCAUUGGAAAAUUCGUCAUAGACAAAGCUCUAUGCGACCUAGGAGCCAAAAUUAGUGUAAUGCCCUUAACCAUCUGUAAAAGGCUUAACAUGGGAGAACUAAGACCAACCAAGAUGUUUGUUCAACUAGCUGACCGCUCAAUCAAAUAUCCUGUCGGUAUACUAGAGAAUGUCCCAGUACGUGUAGGACAAUUCUACAUUCCUACAGACUUCAUAAUCAUGGACAUCAAAGAAGAUGCCAGUACACCUAUUAUAUCGGUAUACUAGAGAAUGUCCCAGUACGUGUAGGACAAUUCUACAUUCCUACAGACUUCAUAAUCAUGGACAUCAAAGAAGAUGCCAGUACACCUAUUAUAUUAGGAAGGCCAUUCUUAGCUACCGCUAGAGCCAUAAUAGACGUGAAAAGAGAUAAGAUAACAUUAGAAGUUGGAGAAGAAAAGGUUGAAUUCAUCUUGACACAAUUCUUACAAGCGCCAACUAUAGGCGAUACUUGUUAUCUACUUGAUGUCAUAGACGAGUGCGUAAGAGAGAUGGAGAUGCAAGAAACCACAUAUUCCGAUAUAAUGAAAAUCCAAAUCCCUCCAAUCUUUGAAGAUGAUGAUUGGCGUGAACCAUACCAAAAUGACAGUCUAAGCGAAUGCUUAACACUUACACCUAACCACAUGCCAUGCCCGAAGAAACCAGACUUGGAAUUAAAAACACUACCAAAGAACCUAAGAUACGAAUUCCUAGACACUGAACUCAAAAGACCAGUAAUAGUCAAUGCUGACUUGGGACAAAUGGAAACUGAAAAGUUACUAGAUGUCUUAAGAAAAUAUCCAACUGCGUUAGGCUACAACAUCGCCGACCUAAAAGGAAUAAGUCCUUCUAUCUGUAUGCAUCGCAUUAUGCUAGAGGAAGAUUGUAAAACCUAUAGAGAACACCAGAGAAUGAUCAACCCAAUCUUAAGUACUGUAGUCAAGGAUGAAGUAAAGAAGUUAUUAGAUGCAGGAAUCAUAUACCUGAUCUCCGAUUGUCAAUGGGUUAGCCCCGUUCAUGUAGUACCCAAGAAAGGGGGUGUUACAGUUGUUAAGAAUGAGAAGGGAGAAUCUAUAGCACAAAGAGUUGUGACCGAAAGUAGAAUGUACAUCGAUUAUAGAAAACUAAAAAAAGCCACUCGAAAGGAUCAUUUUCCUCUGCCUUUCAUUGAUAAAAUGGUUGAACGAUUGGCUAAACAUUCCCACUUCUGCUAUCUAGAUGGUUAUUCAGGAUUCUUUCAAAUUCCAAUCCAUCCUGACGACCAAGAGAAGACAACCUUCACAUGCCCUUAUGGUACAUUUGCUUACCGACGAAUGCCAUUUGGACUAUGCAACGCUCCCGCAACAUUCCAUAGAUGCAUGAUGUCAAUCUUCGCUGACUUUAUAGACGACAUUAUGGAAGUCUUUAUGGACGACUUUUCUGUUUGUGGGUAGAGCUUUGAAGGAUGUCUAUCAAACCUUGAAAUGGUACUUGAAAGAUGCGUAAAGAUGAAUCUCGUUUUGAACUGGGAGGAAUGCCAUUUCAUGGUCCAACAAGGAAUCAUGUUAGGACAUGUAGUAUCUGAUAAAGGAAUUGAAGUAGACAAAGCUAAGAUCGAAAUCAUAGAGAAUCUUCAACCUCCGAAAACCGUACGAGAAAUACGAAGCUUUUUAGGACACGCCGGUUUCUACCGACGCUUUAAGCUAAGAUCGAAAUCAUAGAGAAUCUUCAACCUCCGAAAACCGUACGAGAAAUACGAAGCUUUUUAGGACACGCCGGUUUCUACCGACGCUUUAUCAAAGAUUUCUCGAAAAUUACCAAACCACUUAUGGGUUUAUUAAUGAAAGACACCGAUUUUAUCUUUGAUGAGAAAUGUUUAACAGUGUUUGAGCAAUUAAAAACAUCGCUAAUCACCGCGCCUAUAAUGCAACCACCUGACUGGAGAUUACCAUUCGAAAUCAUGUGUGAUGCGAGUGAUUAUGCCGUAGGCGCAGUACUAGGACAAAGAAAGGAUAAAAAACUUCAUGCUGCCUACUACGCAAGUAGAACAUUAGAUCCAACCCAAAUGAACUACACCACCACUGAAAAGGAACUUCUAGCCGUUUUGUUCGCUUUAGACAAAUUCCGUUCUUACUUAGUAGGAGCGAAAAUCAUUAUCUAUACUGACCACACCGCUAUUAGAUAUCUGCUUAGUAAGAAGGAUGCCAAACCAAGACUCUUAAGAUGGAUCCUACUCUUACAAGAAUUUGACUUAGAGAUAAAAGAUAAGAAGGGUACUGAAAACGUAGUAGCAGACCACUUAUCACGAAUCGAAGGGAAUAAACCUGAACAAAUUCCAAUCAAUGAUGAUUUCCCUUACGAACGACUUAUAGCCCAAAUGGAAAGCGACAUGUCUGAACUAACCAAAAAUGAUACUGAAAUAGAAGAAUCCGUGGAAGAAAUUCAUGCGAAUGCAACUGUCCCAUGGUAUGCUGAUUUUGUCAACUACCUAGCUGUUGGAGUACUUCCACCGAACCUAUCAUACCAACAAAAGAAGAAAUUAUUUCAUGAUCUAAAACAAUACUCCUGGGAUGAACCUCUACUUUUCAAAAGAGGUACCGACGAUAUUUUCCGUUGAUGUAUUCCUGAGGAUGAAAUAGACGACAUAAUCUCUCAUUGCCAUUCCGCCCCCUAUGGUAACGUUUCAAGACGCGAUGAAAUGCCACAAACAGGCAUCUUAGAAGUGGAAGUCUUUGAUAUGUGGGGGAUUGACUUCAUGGGACCAUUCCCAUCUUCUUUUGGUAAUAAGUACAUACUCGUAGCUGUCGAUUACGUUUCAAAAUGAAUCAAAGCCGUAGCUUCUCUGACAAAUGACACACGAGUAGUGAUUAAGUUGUUCAAGAACAUAAUCUUUCCUAGAUUCGGUGUGCCAAAACUAGUCAUUAGUGACGGUGGCUCCCAUUUCAUAUCGAAUAUCUUUGGAAAACUUCUUCUGAAGUAUGGAGUCCGACACCAUGUAGCAACACCUUAUCACCCACAAACCAGUGGGCAAGUCGAGGUUUCGAAUAGAGAAAUCAAACAAAUUCUAGAAAAGACUGUCGAAAUAUCUAGAAAAGAUUGGUCAUCUAAACUAAACGAAGCUCUAUGGGCCUAUAAGACAACUUACAAAACCCCAAUAGGGACCACACCCUUUAAAUUAAUCUACGGUAAAUCAUGUCAUCUCCCUGUGGAAAUAGAACACAAAUCUUAUUGGGCAAUUAAGACCCUAAAUAUAAAUUAUACUUCCGCAGGUGAGAAGCGAAUUUUGGACAUUCACGAAUUGGAAGAACUUCUACUAGACGCCUAUGAGAAUGCCAGGAUAUACAAAGAACGAACCAAAAAAUGGCACGAUAAACGUAUAUCUAGGAAAGAGUUUAAUGUCGGUAACAUAGUGCUACUAUUUAAUUAGAGACUUAAGCUUUUUCCGGGAAAACUUAAAUCUAGGUGGUCAGGCCCUUUCGAAAUCACAAAAGUCUUUAAAAGCGGUGCGAUAGAAAUCAAAGGUCGAAAUAGUGAACCGUUUAUGGUAAACGGGAAGCGAUUAAAACAUUAUCAUAGUAUUGACAACAGAGACUAUUCAAAUAGUCUAAGACUUAUAGAGCUGCCCGCUCAACCCCAAAACUAGUAUAUCGCAACGUUACUGUCGAACUUACGACGUUAAACAAAGUGCUUAGUGGGAGACAACCCGCCUUUUCUUUAAUUUGUUAUCUUUGUUUUUAAGUAUUUCCCUUCUUUGACUUUCAUCUGUAUUUUUUCUCCCUUUCACUGAUUCUAUGCAGUAAUAUACUUGUUGCUUCUAGUUACUAACUCAAAAACAUUGGAUACUGAUUAACAAGCGAAUUUAUAACUAGUUAGUCACUAACUUUCAUCAUGCAACCAGUAGAUACAGUUUUCAGAGGCAGAGUUCAGAGAAGGCGCUAUGAUUAUUUAGCUCAGAAGGAUAUGGCUUUAUCCAUAUAUUAAUCACUAACUUUCAUCAUGCAACCAGUAGAUACAGUUUUCAGAGGCAGAGUUCAGAGAAGGCGCUAUGAUUAUUUAGCUCAGAAGGAUAUGGCUUUAUCCAUAUAUUAUGAUGGACCUACCAUGGAUAAGUUAGGUAUCCGAGAUAGCAUCUUGUUUAUGUUUAACAAGCUAGGACGUGAGAAUGCUGCUAUUAAGAGAAGGUUUAUCACAUACCGUUAACUCACCCUAGAAUUCCUUAGCUCCCUAGUUUACAACCCCGAGCAUGGUUACAGACCCAACAAAGGGUUGAUUUCCUUUAGGCUGUUUAGUAUGGACUUCACUUAUAACCGUAGAGACCUUGCUGACCUCUUAGGAUUUCCUAGUGGCCCAUUUGUUUUCACUACCCGCCAGGAGGAAUUAAUCGAUGACAUCGACCUAGAUUACUUUUGGGGUAAUUUAACUGGAGACUACCACCCUAACCCAAACGAGAUGCACUCCCAAAUGAUACACAAUCCUGCUAUCCACUACUUCCAUAAAAUACUAGCCCACACCCUGUUUGGAAAAGAAGCGAACAACACCAUAGUGUCACGAGAUGAACUUUUCAUCUUACUCUGUGUCGACCAAGGUCGACAUGUCAAUGUUGUGACAUUUAUGAUGGAAAGAUUAAUUCACCUAGCAAAGAAUAAUCGCACCCCAAUCAUAAUAGGCGGCCUAGUAACCAUGAUAGCUGAUGCCAUUGGACUUAGACACCCACUUUACGAGCAUACACCGUAUGGACACAUCCGACCCAUGGAUAUUGAAUUUUGCUUUGACCGUAGAAUCAUAGGAAACCUUGGGCCGAACACUUUUGAUUACCUAAUUAAUAACGAAGUUGUCCAGCUGUUUACUUACCAAACCAUGAGAAAACAAGUGUUCAUAACCGAAGUAAUUGGCUUUAUGAUUUAAAUGAACACCACAUUGCUCCACCAUCACCUCCUGAGACACCGCCUAGAUAUGAGUAUUUAGAUGACCAUAUCCCUGUUGAUGAAUCUGACCCUGAAACCCCUCCAAAAUACUAUAACCUUGAUGAACCGAAACUUCCAUCCUAUGUAGAAAAUCUAACCAUAAUCCUUACCCGUCUGGAUGGUUUCCACACUGACAUUACCAAUGCGAAAGAAGAAAUAAAGAGCAUGCGCCUUGAUGUCUUAGGCUUAAUGGAUGUCUCCGUCGAACAGUUUGAUCACUUGAACUAGGCUAUAGCUGCUUUGGGACAGAACCGUGGCCGAUUACAAUGACCGCUGACCUCUCCUACUCACAUUAAAGCAAUGAGGACACUACUAUGUUUUAGUGUGGGGAGGGAGCACUUUUAUUGCUAUUAUUCAACACUUUUAUUGCUAUUUUUUCUUUUAAUGUUACAUUUCACUUUAAUAUUUUAAUUUAAUUUAAAUAACAUUGUUAUUUCUUUUUGCUUCUAUAAUAAAUUUAAUUUACCUCCGUCAUUUUAUUUUUUUGCUGCUGUUAAUUCCAUACUGCUUUUAUACUGCUGUCGUACUGUGUUAACACUAUCAUUACUACUGUCUGCUAAAAUUCAUAUACUUUUUGGCCUAUUUUCCAAAAAAAUUGUGAACGUCGCAUGUGAUGACUGUCACAUGUAGUGUGACGCCCGUCACAGAGGCGUGACACCCGUCACAGAUACACCACACUCGUCACAUAUUAAGAUGAUGACCGUUACACACAGAUGACCGUUACGCAACCGUUAUGUGUGACGACCGUAACCUCCCUGUGACGAUCGUCACGAAUCCAGAUGGCGCACCUAUAAAAACAGGCGCACUCCCUUUCUUCUUCCUCAUCUAAUCAUCCUACUUUCCUUAACCAUCCCACUCACACCACUCUUUUCUCCAUUAACCCUUUCUUCACAUCCUUUUAAGCGAGAAACGUGUGAGUACCUUAUAACUCACGAAAUCCAUCUCUCCCACCAAAACCUAUAUUUAUUAACCAUCCCACUCACACCACUCUUUUCUCCAUUAACCCUUUCUUCACAUCCUUUUAAGCGAGAAACGUGUGAGUACCUUAUAACUCACGAAAUCCAUCUCUCCCACCAAAACCUAUAUUUUCAUAUUCACACACUAAAUGGCCCGUCAAGAGAGAACUGCUCCCGACCUCUCAAAUAUCGUAUUCAGAAAUGGAGAAGUAGGCGAGCGACAGGGAGACAACUACCUCAGGUUCUAUCAACGUUCAGUCCAAGCUACGAGGUAUGUUGAUAACGACUGUCUGACGGAGCUGGGACUUUCAGAUGGCGUAGAAUGGAUGUUGAACAAGUUUGACGCAGCUUUGCACCAACCCGAAACCAACUUAUGAGGCGCUGACCUUGGAAUUCUUGAGUUCAUUCGCCUACAUUACCCCACCAGGUGCAACUCAGUUUCUCACCGGAGCCGCCACAUUUAGAAUGUUCAGUACCGAGUAUUCCCUGAACCAAACUCCAAUAGCGUGAAUGCUUGGCUUCCGACAUGAAGAGAGAGUUCACUGCUGUAUCCCUGACGGAUGGUCAGAAAUAGCAUUUGGAGUGUGGCACAACCUUACCAACAUGAACGUCACAAGCUGGGAUACACUCAACGUAACUUACAUCCACAACCCAACUAUAAGAUAUUUCCACCGAGUCUUAGGGCACACGGUUUUCGGAAGAGUCAACAAUCACAAGGUAAACUCUAAGGAGCUCUUCUUUCUUCACUGUGUGUUCACCCCGGUGGCGUUCAAUGCCACCCCAAAUAUUUCCACCGAGUCUUAGGGCACACGGUUUUCGGAAGAGUCAACAAUCACAAGGUAAACUCUAAGGAGCUCUUCUUUCUUCACUGUGUGUUCACCCCGGUGGCGUUCAAUGCCACCCCAUUCUUGUUGGCCAACAUCCAGGCUGCAUGCAUGAGAGGUAGCCAGGCGUUCUGUUUUGGAGGAAUCAUCACCUCCAUAGCAUUAGGCCUGAAUCUGGGGGAUAGGCUCGCCGACUUACCUGCCUUGCCAGCCGAGUUCCUCAACAUCGACUACUGCUGUUCCUCACACCUCAUCAAGGCCAGAGAUGAUAGGAAGUACCAUCCUGUGGUUAGGAACAAGAUAGUUCGAAGCAUCAUCAUGCCCAACAGGAACCGUACAGAUCCGCAGAAUAUGGAGAAUUGGAUUUUUGAUCUGAAUGCCCCUGAGCCAAAUGAAGGAGAUCCUAAUAAUGGAGCAGAUGAAGUCGAAGAGGAACUUUACCGAGAAAUGCCACAACCACUUCCUGAGUAUGCUGCAGAGACAUCUUCCCGAGGCCAGCGAAGAAAUGAGCGACGACCCACCACCAUGGAAGACAUCUACGCUGAGAUAUUGCGACACAACCAGAGGAUGGAGGAGCGCCAGACAGAAAUGAUGCAAACGAUCCAACAGAUACAGAGGGAUCAACAUGACUAUGCGAAUUGGCACGACCAGGGGAUGGCGGAACUUUCCAAAGAGAUGAGUGCCUAGACACAUCGCGUUGAUGCCAUCCAGGAGUACACUCAGCAUGUGGGGUUGGAUCCUACCCAGCGUGGAAGAAGUGAGCAUGCACGAGCAAGAGUCAGAGCGCGCAGAGCCCAACGUCGUGACGAGGAGGAGUGAUUUUCGUGUUUCUUCCCUUUUCAUUGUCGCAUUGAGGACAAUGCUUUGUUUAAAUGUGGGAGGAAAUCCCUGUCUUUCCUUUACUUGUUUCUAUUUUUAGCCCUAACAAUUUUUUUUUGUCUUUAUCUAAUCGUUCAUUCAUUUAUAUCUAAUUUUCCAUAACAAAAUUUUUGUUUUCUUAAGUUAAAUGCAUACCCUACGAGUAUAUAGGUUGCCUUACAGAGGUUCUGUUAGGAAACUGAGAAAAAUCUAACAAGAUUGAUACCGUCCUGACACCUUAGAUCUCUCACUUUUACGAGAUCAGUUGAAUACCCAUUAUACCAAUACCUAAAGUCUCCAUUCUAGAUUAACCCCUAGUAGUUUAUACUAGCAGUCAACACCGUCUUAAACACAAACCAUGUGAAGAGACGAUGAAUAUAAGUGAUUGAUGCCCACGAAUUAAGAAGAUCCUUCAUACUUUUGCCAGAGAAAUUGAAAAAUGCACCAUACAAACAGUUGCAAGAUAUACAAAAGGAAGGAACAGAAAAACCCGACUGGUUGGUUCAGAGGUACCUGGUACUAGACUCAGUAGGGCGAACUACGGUUCGAUCCCCCACAAUCUUCAAAUGGGAUAUAUAAAGGGGUACCACACUAGUGUACCAGACCCCGUGCUAAAAAAGGAUCAAAGUCACUAACUGGUUACUUCACUAAGUGCGUGUGAAGGCAAAGGGCUUAAUGUGAUUGCGCUAGAAUGAAACCAGGUGAAAUAGGAACGAGAGGCACUAGGUUGAGCUAUAAUAGCAUGAUUCGAACUGGUUUGUACAAAGGAGAGAUCCACGUUAAUGCUUAUUGCUUGUGUCGUCACUGUAUCUUUAGUCUUUUACUUGAGUAUCUCUCAUCUUAACGAAGUACCUGACAACCACAUACGAGUUGGAAAUGUGUUACGUAUUCACGUUUAACUAGUGUUUUCAAAUUUUAUUUGCUUGAGGACAAGCAAAGAUUCAAGUUUAGGGGAGUUUGAUAACGCGAAAAUACAUCGUAUAUUUGCCUUGAUUUACACUCAAAAAGCGUACCACUUUCACUUAUAUUCCGAUUAUUCCGCAAGUGUUCGAGUUAUUUUUACAGGUAUUUCAAUUCCCAUGCUUAGACCAGCAAAGUAUAGAAAAGGAAGGAAAAGAAGAAGAAAUAGAAGAGAAAACAGCAGAAGAACAAAUAAUACAAACUUUGUGCAUGUGACGACCGUCACAAAGCCUGUCACGACCGUCACGCCCAGCUUGUCACGACCGUCACAGGCCCAUCACGAACGUCACGCGGCCAAAAUCAGCACUUUGAAUCUGUCAACAGAAGUGAUCGAGCUGGCCCUUAAUUCUAGUUCCUCAGCCACUUUCCCGUGGAUUCCUCACUCAACCAAGUCAUCCUUGUUUCUCUCAACUGCCAAGACCUAAUGAUGGAUAUAAAAGGAUGGAAGUUGGAAACCUACGGGGGGACGCUAAAUUUUUCUCUCUGAAGCCAGCUUUGAAGACCUUUUUCUCUCUGCAUUUUUCCACAACAAUUCUGUUUGUCUUUUAUUUUUCUUCAGCAACACUAUUUUCGUUUACCGUUCAGAGCUUUGAUUUUCCCUUUUUCCUUUCCGCUUUUCAUUUAGCCAAAGUAGUAGUUUCCUACACUGGGGAACUACUACAAUUUAUUUAAUUUAGUUUAAGCAAUUAUUUCGAAGAGGCAGAAUCCUACUGACCUGUGGAGGACUGCUCAAGUACUUCAAGAUUCGGCAUAUUCUAUUAAUCCUAUUUCCAGGUUUUUAUUCAAUUAUAAUUGUUAUUGCUUUAUUAUUAUUAUAAUCAUGUUUGCUUUAUAGUUGAUCUAUUUAUGUUCGUCUGUGUUUGCGUUGUUUAACAUGUCCGGCUAAACUACCGGUAUAGGUAUGUAACAAUUUAAUUAGACGGGAUUUAAUAAUAAUCGGUGUAAACUUCUUUCCUCAAACAAUCUUUUUGGAUGUGGUUUUUAAUUUAAAUUUAAUUAACUUUGUCACAAGAGUGAGAAGCUAUUUAAUACGAUUUUGCCACGAGAGUGGGAAAUUAACUAAGGUGAGAAUGAGGGUCGAACUGGAUAGUAAAAACUAGGCAUUGAUUUUAAAAACAGCGAGAGCACUUUAAAAGCAAUUAGAACUUAUUUAUUUUCAAAAAGUAUUUUUAACUUCAAAUGGGACAGCGAGAGCGUAUAUUCUGACUUAAAGGUAUAGUCCAAAUCAACAAUCACGAGAGUGUGAGAUAAAGCCUUUUAAAUAAGUAUUUUCUACCGAAAGAUAUUUGAUACUUAAAUUAUACACCGGUGACUUAUCGAAUCCCUGACGAUUAAUGCAUUGCAUACUAAUAUCCUUCUAUUAAUAUUUUCUUAGAACUUAACUUCCCUUAGAUUUAAUUUUCUUCAACCAAACUUCUAAAAAUCAUUCCCUUAGAUAAACAUAGUAACGUCGGUAGCAUUAGUUUGACCAUCGGUCCUUGUGGGUUCGAUAUCUUUUAAAACUAAAACAACUAGACUGUGCACUUGCAGUCAAGUACCCGAUAGACUAUAUUCUAUAUACAAUCACAAGACGUAUCAGCUAGCAACUCAGUGGAAGAAUGAGCAGACCACCCUUGUUAAUCCUGAAGUGAAUAAUAUGACUAUUUGUUUUGAUAUGAUUAUUGUAUGCUCACAUGCUGAAGACUCACUCCUGGCAUCUGACCCUUAUGUGAGAUAACUUAUGUGUGUUAGUAGUAGCGUCUAAUCUUUGACUACUGACUACUAACUGUGUGUUCAUGCAUGAUUGACUGUUAUGGAGUACUAUGUGUGUAACACUCUCAUGUGUGUGUAACUACCUCAUGACUCAUGUGUGUGUGUCACUACUUCAUGACCUAUGGCAUGCAAACUCAUGUGUGUAACUACCUCAUGAAUUCUGUCUUGUGUUACUUAGAUGUGCUACUCUGACUUCUGUUAUUGAUGUAUACUCUAAUGGAUAUUCUUCUACAACUACUGAUGGUUGGUCUAAUUAUAUCUUUGAUAACAACAUUUGGAGUUGUCAGGAAGCCAUGAGGGAUGUUGUUUGGCGCAAAUUUUCUGAUUGGAUAUCAAUCAGAUUUGUUGCAAAUUUGUUAGCAAUGUGUGGUUGAUUUGUUUAACAGAUGUUGAAGAUCAAAUCAAAUUUAAAUGGAGAUUUAAAUUUGAAUUUGAAUGUAACAAAUCAUAUAUUUUGGAGAGUUUUAUGAAGAAAUAAAUUCUAACAAGAUUCUCUACUAUUUUGCAUAAAUUUAAAUCAGAUAUCCAUAAAGAAAAGACCAUAAGACAUUGCUAUAUAAGGAGACUCAAUUCUCAUAUUUUAUUUGUGGGUUUGUACAUAAGUUUAAGUUCUUUGUGGCUAGGGUUUUUGAGUAUUGUAUUCCAUGCUAAUGCUUUCACUCUUAUCUUAAGGGUUAGUGUUGAAUCUUUGUUGUACACCCCACUAUGUUUCAGUAACUUGGGAUAGUUGUUGAUUUGUCUUAUCUGAGUUAUAAAUUCAACAUGUUUGUGUAGACCACUCUAUGAUUUAGUAACUUGACAUAGUUGUUGGAUUGUCUUAAUUGAGUUGUAAAUUCAACAUGUUUGUGUACACCACUUUAUGUUUCAAUAACUUGGCAUAAUUGUUGAUUUAUCUUAGUUGAGUUAUAAAUUCAACAAUAAAUAGAUUUGUUAUUGAGGUUGAUCACUAGGGGUUAGUGGUUGAAGAAAGUGAGUGGCUUCUCAUAUUUAGAGGGAGACUUAAAUAGAAAGUCGCUAGGAAUACGGAAAGACAUAAAACUUUAUAGGAUUUGAAGGUUCUUAUAAGACUAAUUGUUCUAACUCGAAGUAGUGAAUUUCCUUUUUUGGGUAGAGUUCCCCCAAGAAGUACCUCUUGUGUUGUUUAACAACUUUCUGCAUUGUUUAUUAUUGGUGCCAAACUGUUCUUAAACUGGUUUUAGAAGUUGGACAAGUUGUCUCAUAAUUGUGUCCGAUGUAACAUCCUAAUUUUUAAAUUAAUAUUUUACUUAAUUAUUGGAAUGUUUAUGCGUGUUAUUGUGCUAUUUUGGUAUUUUGGGAUAUUUGGGAUAUUUUAGUAAUUUAAUAAUUACUAGGAUUAUAGAGUUUAAGAGCAGAAAAAUAAAAUUAGAUUUAUUUAAAUUAUUAGAGAUAAUUAGACAAUUUUAAUUAUUGAGUAAUAAUUGGAGAAAGUAAAUUAUUAGGAAUAAUUCACAUUUUGAGAAUUCUUGUUAAAUAUUUGUUUAAUUGAAAUUUUUAUUUAAACAAAAUAUAAUAUUAUAUUUUAUUUAGAAAAUAUAAUUUUUGGAAUAAAAUAUGAGCGUUAUAUAUUUUUUGGGGCGUGCGAGUGUGAUGGUGUAAGCUCAAUUGGAAUUUGGGAUAAAAUUAGGUUAUUAUAUAUUCUAAAGUGAGGAGGCAGACUAGGUUAACGUGAAAUUAGAAAAGGUCGGAGUGGCAGAUCAUGGGAAUUGGGAUUUGCACAAGGUUUUGGGAACCGAUCGUAGGAAAAAAGAAAAGUUUCAAUUUUGAGGUAAUGGGGAAUUACUUUACUGAUGAGUGAUUAUAGACAACCAAGAUGGUGAGGGUUUCUUACCCUCCCACCAUCGCCAUGAGUGUUUUAUGUGUUUUCUUUAAUUUCUUAUAUUCUCUGAAAUGUUUGACCAAAUAGGGUUUGGACAAAACCCCAUUUACAUCGAUGGUAAAAUAUUUUUAUUCUGUGGGUUACUGUAUUUCGCUAAAUAUGGUUUGGGCAAAACCCUAUUGAUGACCAAAUGAGAUUUAGGAUAAAUUCUAGAUGGUCAUCGUAAUAUUAUUUGUUGUUGAUUGACAUGUUUAUCGUGAUAUGAAUAUAUGUUUGGUUGAAUUAUAUAUAUCUUUUAUGAGUUGGAGUUUUUGUAAUGUCUGUGAAAUUUAAGCGACCUCAUUUGGUCUAUUUUCCCAAUUCCUUGAUAUUGUACGAUCCAUGUUUUCCCCUAAUUUUUUCAAAAUGUCAAAAAAGUAAAAAUCAUAAAAUUAGAAUUUUUAUCGAAAAAUCAAAAAUAAAAAAACGCAGAAAAUCGCAGGUGGACAUAGAAGAGGACUGGUCGUCUUAUUUCAUGCAUAACUUGAGUUUCGUAAGUCUAUUUGAGGUGCCAUUAGUUCCAUUAUAAAGCUAACGUGAUAAUAUUUCUUUUGAAGUAGGGAAAUUGGGUCUAGGAGUACUAUAAUAGUAGCAGUUUACUGAUUUUUAUACUAGAGGAGUAGUCAAUUUCAGUCAUGCGUUGGUCAUCAUGUUUCACGCGUAACUUGAGUUUCAUAAGUACAUUUGGGAUACCGUCUGUUGCUUUAGAAAUAGAGUUUAAUUAUAUCUCAAACUAGAGAGUUUCAUAAUUUUAUCAUGAGUAUAUAAUUUUUUGUGCUAUUUUGAAGUUAGACGUUCUUUUUUAGACUUUAUGCAGGACAAUGCUGAAACAUAAAUAAAUAGAACUGGAGUUUCAUAACUCUGUAUGAGGUACGGUUAAGUGAGUUUAAAAGAGCGUUUAAAUAAAAUUUAAACUAGAGAAAUUUCAUAAUUUUAUCAUAAGUCUAUAAUAUUUGGUACUAUUUUGAAAUGAGACAAUUUUAGAGUUAAGUCUAAAAUUUUGGGAAAUCCUUUAGCAAUAUAAGGAAUUAAACAUAAUUAUAAAUAACUUAAAAUUGAGUUAGUGAUAUGUUUUAGAGUUGAUUAAAUUAAGAGAGUUAAAUUUUUAUGAGUUUAGAAUAGUUAACAUGUAUAGUGUUAAAUUUGAGUUCAGAUAUGUUUAGAGUUGUGAGUUAGUGUUGUAUUUUAAACUACUGACAUGUUCAAAGUGAGUUUGAAAUGGUUGAGUUGACUCUAAUAUGCUCAAUGAGUUUGUUUGAAGUGUUUAGAGUGUUCUGUGAAUUACAUAUUUUUCAGUAGUUUUGAGCCAAACUACAACCCCUUAAAGCUAGUAGAGUUAUCAUCUGUGAGAGUUGUCCUUAUAACUUUUUUGAACACUCUAGAGUACUUUUGGGUACUCUAGAGUCAUGCUGAGACUUAAAAGAUGUUGUUGAGCUUUUUGAGAACUAUAUUGAGUUAUAAUGAAAUUAAUUUUUUUGAGACUUUCUGAGUAUUUUGAUGAUUUUAGAGUUGUUGAGUAUAACAUAAUUUUACUCAAUUUGAUGAUGCAAAAUAAUUAUUUAAUGAAUCAUAUUUUGAGGCUAGUAAUCCGGUGGGAUUACAGUGAGACCUGUUUAUUGGGAAAAUUAUAUUUUGAGAUUAGUAAUCCGAUAGGACUACAAUGAGGUCUGUUUAUUGGAAAAAUUAUAUUUUUGAGAUUAGUAAUCCUAUGGGAUUACGUUGAGGCAUGAUUAUUGAAAAACUUGGUUUAAGUGUGGGACCUAUUUUAAUGAUGAUUUUUUAUGAUUUCUUGAGUUGCAUAAUGAUUUUGAUGAUUGCUUGAGUUGCAUGUUUGUUUUCUAUACAUGAUCAUGCAUGCAUAUAUUUUGGAGUUAGGUAGAACUUUGGUCCAAUGAGGUCAGAUUCAGUUAGGUAGAAAUAUGGAAAGUUCCAUUGGUCAAACAUUUCAAACUCAUGUAUCUAUAUCGACUUGACUUUUUUUACUCCUGCUUCAUUUUCACCUAUAAUCAGUAAAUCAUCCACAUACAAGCAUAUGAUGACUCGACUAAGCCUGCUUACAUUGUUGACUUACACUCCAUGUUCUGAGACACAUUUUGAAAAACCUACUUCGAUCACGAAGCUAUCUAUUCUCUUAUUCCAAUCCCUUAGGGCUUGCUUCAAACCAUAUAGAGCCUUCCUCAAUUUGUAUACCUUCGACUCCUGCUAUUUGAUUUUGAAUCCUGAUGGUUGACUGACAUAGACUUCUUCUUCCAAAGGUCCAUUCAGAAAUUUUGACUUUACAUCUUGUUGAUGUAUCUUCCAUCCUUUGUAUGUUGCAGUAGAUACAACAAUUCUGAUGGUUUCAUGCCUUGCCAUAAGUGCCUAAACUUCGUCAAACCAAUACCAAGUUUUUACAGCUAGCCUUCUCGUCUCAGUUCUUGUUCUAGUCACCAUCUGCAUCGACUUCUUGAUCUGAAAAUCUCUCAUAUCCAGCUAGCCUUGUCGUCUAAGUUCUUGUUCUAGUCAAUCUCCUAACAUUCUGCUCAGCUAGUUCUUCGUUUUGAUUGGUUGCGACUUUAGUCUGUUGGUCUUCAACAAGCAGAAUUGCGAUUGUUUCUUGAUCCUAUCAAACUAACCCUUGACUCAAAUCCUACCCAUUUCUUUCACCCACUAAAACAUCUCGAAUGAUCACAAGUUUAUCAUCAUUUGGUGAAUAUAGUUUGUAUGCACCAGUCGAAUGAUAACAUAUGAGUACCAUAGCCUGACUUCAAUCAUCUAAUUUCUCCCUCAAUUGUUCAGGUACAUUCAUGAAGCACAUUGAUCCAAAGAAUCUAAGAUGACUAACAUUUGACUUAUGUCCUAUCUAAACCUCAUAAAGUAUCUUCUCAACUAUCUUUUUCGUUGGUCAUCUAUUUAGAAUGUAUAUUAUUGUUGAAGCUGCUUCAACCCAAAAUCUCUUUGAGACUUCUUUAGCUUUCAACAUGCUCCUAGUCGUGUUAAAUAUACUUCUAUUUCUCCCCUUAGCUAUACGAUUAUGAUGAGGUGUAUAUGGUGAAAUGACCUCAUGCUCUAUACCUUUAUCAGUGAAAAAUCUUGCAAAUUCUCUAGAGGUGUAUUCGCAUCCACCAUCAGUUCUUAGUUUCUUUAACUUGCAUCCACUUUGUUUCUCGACAUGCAAUUUAAACUUCUUGAACUAUGUGAAUACCUCACUAUUCCUUUCAAUAAGUUAAACCCACAUAUAUCUAGUGAAUUCAUUUAUGAAGGUUAGAAAAUAGCAGUUACCUUCAUUCGACCUUACAUCAAAAGAUCCACACACGUCAGAGUGAACAAGCUCCAUCUUUUCUCUCGACUUCAUGCACAAGUCAUGUUUGAAUGACUUCCUAGCCUGCUUUGCUUUGCAACAUUUCUCACAUAUUUGACUUGGUUCUUUCACUUGAGGUAAGCCAUACACCAUCUUCUUCUAGUUGAGCAUACAUAGACCUUUGAAGUUUAAGUGUCCAUACCUAUGAUGCCAUAACCAGUUCUUGUGUUCGACAACAGUCAAAGCAAGACACUGAUGAUCAACCAUGUCAAUCUCAAUCUUGAAGAUUUUGUUAUCUUCCAAUGGUUCCUUCAGGAUCAUCAUUCCUUCACCAUUAUACACCUUCAUCAUAUUUUCUUCAAACUUCAUGUUAUACCCUUUGGUAAGUAAUUGACCUAAGCUUACCAAGUUACUUGUCAUUUAAGGUACAUACAAUACAUCAGUAAUGUUGGAUCUUCAACCAUUCCUUCACAUCACAACCAUGUUUCAUUUUCCCUCUGAUGCAACAUGCCAACCAUCUGCAAACUUGAUCAUCUUCUUGAUUGAUUCGUCUAACUUAGUAAACCAGUUUUUAUUUCCAACCAUGUGGUUGCUGCAUCCUGAAUCCAGAUACCACAUAUUGGUUUGUUCAUUAUUUGACUGAGUAUUUUUCAUAAGUAGCAUAUCAUCAGAGUCGCUUUCUCCAGCAUGUGCAUAUUAUAUUUUGUCAUCAUCUUUUACUCUAGAUUCCUUCUUUCUUCUACAAUCUCGAGCAUAAUGACCAACUCCUUGACAAUUGUAACACUCCACCUCCUUCAUGUCAACUUUCUUUCCCAAAUACUUGUUUCCCAUGACUUUCUUGAUUGAAUCAAAGUGAUUCUUUGAAUUCUUGCUUGGCUUCUCAUCAUUAUCAAGAUUCCUUCUUUGUUCGCCUUUUAUUUUCUAGAUUUCUUGAUGAAUCUUGAAUGUAGUGCUUGUUCAACCACCUUCUCCCUUUCUAAGUUCCUCUGCUUCAUCCCCAUCUCAUGAGUCUCUAGUGAAGCUUGAAGCUCUUCUAACUUCAUCUCAACUAGAUUCUUAGACUCUUCAAUAGAUACUACAAUGUAAUCAAAAUUUAUAGUGUGAGAUCUCAACACUUUCUCAAUCUUCUGUGAAUCGUUGAUUGAUUCACCACACGUCUUCAUCUAGUUUGUUAGUGAUACCACACACAUAAAGAAUUCUGAAACUGACUCAUCUUCUUUUAUUUGAAUAAUCUCAAAUUGCUUUCUCAACGUCUGCAAUUCCACCCUCUUUAGUUUUUCAUCUCCGCCGUACAAAUUCUUUAUCUUAUCGCAUGCUCUUUUUGAUGUUUAUUCUUCAAUGAUCUUCUCAAACACGUUAGGAUCCACACAUUGAUGGAUCAAGAACAAAGCUUUUGCAUCUUUCUUUCUUCGUUCCUUGUGUCAAGUUUGCUGAACAUUGUUCGCAUUCUCUUCCAACGCAAGUACUCCAUCGUUCACGAUUUCAACCACAUCUUGAAAUCUGAAGAUGACCUUCAUCUGCGCAACCCACAUCUUGUAGUUCUCCUCUUUGAAAAUCAGUAGAUUCGUUGAAAAUUGCGUUGGUGUUGUGUUUCUGUUUGCCAUUACUGAUUCUCUCUGAAUCGUAACCCGAUUCUAAUACCAAUUUAUUGUAACAAAUGGAACAAUUAGGAUUUCAAGAAGAAUAAAGAAGAAGGAGAAAAACAAAUAGGAGAGAAUUAGAAAACAUAUUUUAAAACUUGUAAAUCUGAUGAACUGUUAAUUGUGUAAAACUAUACAACGUCGUGCCUAUUUAUACGCGAUCAAGGCUCAAUGCCAAAACAUACAACCCAAACCCAAAAUAUAUAAAGUUAUAUUUUAGCUUCUACACAACAACUAUAUGUUAUAUUCGACUUUGUCGAAUACAUCUGACUCCUACUUCGACUAGAUCGGACACACCUAAUCGAAUACAACUUAUUCUACAAAACAAUAAUUUAUAACUUCUAACACUCACAAAUAAGUCAAAAACAAAAUGCUGAUAAAUGAUUGUUCACCCGUUUCACGGUUCCUGUUGAAUGCCUCGCAGAUAAGACAGAAUCUGAAUACUAAAAGUGUAAUCUACAGUACACUAUCAAUUAAACUAAAAAACACUAUUAUACCAUAUUUUUCACUAGUUAAUGGCAGCCAACUGGUCAUAUGGUCCUGCCAAAGAUAGUUCUUAAAAUUGGCAUCCCAAGGUAAUUAUAUACUGCUACCAUAAAGUCAUUUUAUUUCUUUAGAAUAGAUACAUGUCACAUUCUCUUACAAAUGAGCCGUGGAAUUACGUGAAAAGUCAAACAAUAGAAUGAUGGAGAAUUGAAUGUAAGGUUGUUAACAAUAUAGUGGAGCAGGUUCAUUCAUCAUGUCUAGUUUGUCCACUUGUGUAUCAUUAUGGAGAAUAGCCGGUGUGUUUCUGUUUGUGUCUCAGACAAAAAUAUAAAAACAAAAUGUUACCGUCCUGCCGUUUUUUAGUUCGAUAAGGCAUGAUUUACAUAACAACAAAAUUGAUGUUAAAUAUAACAUUAGAAAAGUUUUGUUUUUUUACUACUAUAUCAAUUCAAAUACUUGUUGGAAAAGGAUCUCUUUAUAUCUAUUAGAAUUCUAAUUUGAUCUAACUAAUCCAUAUAAAACAAAGGAUAGGUGGCUCGGAAACCAUCUGAUAGCAGAUGGCACAACAGAUUUUAUGGUCCUGAAUAUAUAUUUAGGCCAUAUCUUAUCUGAUAUUGGAUUCUUUUAACAUUAUCUGCAUUGAAAUUUGUAAGAUAGCAAAUCAAAGUUAUUAUGUUAAGCCUUAAUGUGGACUUUACUUUUUUUCUUUUUAUAUCAACGAGUACUUAAAUGACAUUGUGCAAUGAAAAUGUUUAAACCAUUUGCAGCUCUAUAGUAGAAGAAGUGAAAAUGGAAGAAGAGAUCAAGAAGAGCCUCUUGCAGCACCAAAACACAUCAGAAGAGGAGGAAGAGCCAUUGAGGAAAAGAGUAUGGCAAGAAAGCAAGAAGAUGUGGAAAGUAGCAGGUCCUGCCAUAUUCAAUAGAUUUUCAACAUUUGGAAUCACUGUAGUUAGCCAAUCCUUCAUUGGUCACAUUGGCCCUACUGAACUAGCUGCCUAUGCCAUUGUUAUGACUGUCCUGGUCAGAUUUGCAAAUGGUGUUUUGGUAAGUCAAUUAUUCCUCAUUCUACAAAUAUCAAAAAUCAUAUCUCGCGUACUCGCAGAUGCAAUUGUGGUUGAUAUUGCAGAGAAUCGUGAUCAAAUAUCACUGAUGCGACCUAAAUCGCAAUUGUACUAUAUAGACAUCAAAAACCUUGUUUCAACUAAUAAGGCUUAUGUUGUUAUAUUUUGCAUGUAUCUACUAAACUCUUGUGUAUUUUUUCGUGCAAAUUGAAAAUUGUAGUUGGGUAUGGCGAGUGCGUUGGAAACUCUAUGUGGACAAGCAUAUGGUGCAAGACAAUAUGAUAUGCUAGGAGUUUAUCUUCAAAGAUCAUGGAUAGUUUUAUUCUUGACCUCAGUUCUUCUUCUUCCUAUUUACAUUUUCACCACUCCAAUUUUAGAGGCACUUGGUCAAGAUAAAAACAUUGCACAAGUUGCUGGAAGCAUUUCUUUAUGGUCAAUAGGUAUCAUAUUUGCUUUCAGUGUCUCAUUCACUUGCCAAAUGUUUCUACAAGCACAAAGCAAGAACAAGAUUAUUGCUUACCUUGCUGCCGUUUCGAUUUCAAUUCAUGUCUUUAUGUCAUGGCUUUUAACUGUUAAGUUCAAGUUUGGACUUAAUGGUGCAAUGACAUCAAUCAUUUUGGCACAUUGGAUACCUAAUUUGGGUCAGCUUGUUUUUAUCAUGAGAAAGUGUCCUGAUACAUGGAAGGGUUUCUCCUUUUUGGCCUUCAAAGAUCUUUGGCCUGUAAUCAAGCUUUCUUUGUCUUCUGGAGCUAUGUUAUGGUAAGUGUUUGAGAAAAUGUUGUUGUAAUAAAAGAUUCAUAUGACUGACAUAAGGCUAUGGUUUCUUUUUACAGUCUUGAAAUAUGGUACAACACAGUUUUGAUUCUUCUAACAGGGAACAUGGAAAAUGCUGAGAUUUCCAUUGAUGCUUUGGCCAUAUGGUACUACAUCUCUUGUUCUCAUUCUUGCUUUUUUUGCUUCAAAAUUUAGCAUUAAGGGACACCUUCCACCUGCUUCUUCAUAUUGAAAUUAAUCUGUUGAUAUAAUCAAAUUGUCAUGUUUGCAGCCUCAAUAUCAAUGGGUGGGAAAUGAUGAUAGCUCUUGGUUUCUUUGCUGCAGCUAGGUACUUAAUUGUUAUUGCAAUCUCAUAAUUCUUCAAAAUAUGUCUAAGUUCUAAAAUAAAAUAUAGCAAUUUUUUAGAAAGGAAUUGGUAUCCGUCCAUAAGACCAACUAAUUUGGGAGACCAAUCUCACCGUCACUAACAGAGAUUCAUUUGUAGUCAAAGCAAACUUCUGUAUGGACUAAUCUAACACAUGAAAUGUUGAAAUCUACGAAAUUCGAAAUCCGAGACUUUGAGAGAAGCAGACAGUUAGAUCUCAAGUCUUUGUUAGGAUUAAAGUAGUUAGUUAGUUACUUGUUUAUGAAGUAACUACUUUCUUGCGUUACAAGCUAACUAUAAGUUGUACAACUUGCUAUGACAACUUAAAUAACAUAUAUAUAUGCAUAAUCCUAAUAAUUGUGAUUGAUCAUUAUAACACAUAAUUGGUAUCUAGAGCCCAUUCGAUACUAAUUUGAUCAUAAAAUACAAUUUUGUUUAUUGGAUUGGUUGCAAACCGUUGUGUUAGUUAAUGUCUAUCAGGAACUCAUCAAGAUUCAUUUUCUUUCCUUUCGCUUUGUCCUCUCAAUUCAAUUUCUUGCAAUGGAUACAAGUCCGAUUUAUGCACCAUCAUAAAUUCCAAAGUCCAGUGGUUUUUAUGAUCAUUGGGAAGAGCUAAUGGAAAACUUGUUGCGAUCGAAGGGGAAUUAAAGUUUGAUUGAAGAUGAUGUCCUAGUUGCCCUUGUGAAUCCCACACUCGAGCAAGUGAAACUUACUUCUUAGAGAAAACUCAUAGAUUUAAAGGCGAAGAAAUAUUUGUUUCAAUCCAUUGAUCGUAAGGACAUUUGCGCCUCCAUGUUUAAGAAGUAUCAAGGAUCCACCAUGGUAAAACAUGACCAACUAGAGGCUCUUCGCAAAUUAUUUGAUAUCUUUAGUAUGAUUUGAGGUGAAUCUGUCACAAAUUACUUUGAAAGAACUCUUGCAAUUGUCAUCAAGGUGUAUGGUCAUGUGAAAAAGACGCAUGAAAUCUUGGUUGUUGAGAAAAUAUUAAGGUUUACGACUACACAAUUUGAUUGAGUUGUGUGCUUCAUAGAAGAAUCAAAUAAUAUCACCAUCAUAUCCUUUGAUGAAUUGUAUAAAAGUCUUCUUGUGCGUGAACAAAGAAUUACGACACACGAGGAAAAAUAUGAGGAUUAGGCCCUCAAGAUGUCUAACUCUAGGCGAGGUUAUGGUUAUGGUAGAGGUCUUAGAGGAUCAAGAAGGUUUAACUGAGGUAGACACGCAAAGAUGUUUGUAAAAUUCUUCAAGUGUCGCACGUUUGGACAAUAAUGAGUGUCUAAGUUGGAGGAAAAAUGCUAAUUUUGUUGAAUGUGAGGAUAUUGAACAAUUGUUGCUCAUGGCUCAAGAUCAUGCAAAAACUAGUGGCAAAGAAGAUGUUUAGAUCCUAGAUUCUGAAUGAAGCAAUAUGUAACGUUAUAUUUGUAAAGGUCCUAAUAAAGGCGUGAGCUUUGUAGUCCCUAGAAUAGGCAACAGACAUAUGACAUCUCCAAUGAGUUAAUGCCUCGCACCAACUCCUUUCCUCUCGCCCAAGCAUGGGAAAACAUGGGAAAAGACGUUCGUCAGAAAGAGAGGAGUCAAGGUUUGUAGCUGGUCCAUGUCUCCCUAGGAAAUAGGAAUUCAACGGUCCACAAUUGAGUCAGUGAACGAUAAUCCUUCCCAAGUAACCCUAGGACCAACACCUCUAUAAAUAGUUCUCCUCUAACGGGAGAAAGGGAAAGAUCACAACUUACUCAUUACACCUAACGCACAACGCUCAUACAUGGAGCCUCUUACCUCACGUGAGCAGGUCAUUUAAAACCACCAUAACAUUGUCAUACACGGCUUCUCGUCGCUGUUGGAAAGCCUUAACCACCCCACAUUCGUUAUACACCUAGUAAGACCUAUGAGUCUCCCUUUCCCUGCAGGGAGACUAUGCACACAUGUAUUUUUUUACCAGUACAGUGGCACACAACGUGGGGAUCCAGGAAAACUAACCCGUGUCACACCUCUUUCACUUUCAUUCCUUCUAUCUUCCUCAUGAGGAUGUAUAAUAAAACUACAUGUUUUUAUACAAACACUAUAACUAGGGGUUUUACAGGUGGAGGAAGCUCCAUCUCCUUCCGAAGAAAUUACGUAAGAUAGGUGGUUGAUGCAAAUGUAAUAUCUCAUGUCUUCCUUAUGGGUGAACGAAGGGAGACAGGGGUUAACAUCACAUUUUCCGACAGUGAUGAUAUGGAAACCAAACCUCAUGAUAAUAACCCUGUGGUCAUCAAUGUACAACAUGACAACUGGGACAUCAAGCGAGUCUUUAUAAAUCUUGGGAGUUCUGGUGACUUUCUAUUCAGGGAUGCAUUUUAGAAACUGUAACUCGAUCCUAAUGAGGUCAAAGUGUUCAGAUACUCAUAAAUAGGAUUGCCGGGAGAAUAGGUAAAAGUAAAGGGCCACAUGACCUUAAAGACAACAUGCGGCAAGGGAGCAGACGCAAAGGCGAUGGAAGUUAGCUACCUUGUCGUAGACAUCAUGUCGCCUUACAAUGUCAUUUUAGGUUACCCUGCCAUUAAUGCACUAGGGGAGGCCAUCUCCACCUGAUACCUGGUCCUUAAAUACCCGAUGCUUGGUGGAUGAGUCAGGAUGAUACGAGGAGAUCUACAGAUAGCUCAAGAAUGUUACCAUAAUAGUCUGGAGAUGGAAAAGGGAAAACUUGUACAUAUGGGUGCCCCCUCCUUUAAGUCCCACUUGUAGAUGUCCAUUUCUAGGUACCGGGUUAGGCGUGGAAAAUGAAAGACUCACGUCCACUGAGGACCUCAAGGAAGUCAUAAUAUGCCCCUCACCACAUCAAGUGACCAAGAUAGGUACCUGAACUAAUUGACCAAUUCACUAGAAAUGUCGACUUAUUUGUCUGGGUUCCCUCUGAUAUGCUUGAGAUGGAUACAAGAGUGGUGACCCAUCGCCUCUCCAUUAAAACUUACAUCAAGCCAAUUGCGUGGAGGAAGUGGAAAGUUGACGAGGAGAAUGUGUCUUCCAUUGCUGAGGAAGUAGGCAAGAUAUUUGACGUUGGGUUCAUUACAAAAAAAUACCCUACUUGGCUGACCAACGUUGUGUUAGUCAACUACCAGACACUGAUAACAACAGGUGUCGCAUGUGUGUGGACUUCACCAGCUUGAACACUGCCUAUCCUAAGAACCCGUAUCCACUACCAGACACUAAUAGCCUUAUCAAUGGGUCCUCGAGCUACUGCAUUUUGAGCUUCAUGGAUGCCUAUUUAGGGGUAUAACCAGUUUCAUAUGGAUCCCCUUGAUGCCCCAAAUACUUCCUUCAUGUUGAAACACGAUAACUACUACUACAACAUCAUGCCCUUCAGCCUUAAGAAUAUUGGCGCCACCUACCAGCGACUCAUGGACAGUGUGUUCUCCCAUCAAAUUGGGCAGAACAUGAAGGUCUAUGUUGAUGGCAUGAUAGAGAAAACUAACGAGGGGAACAUCCACGCUAAAGAUUUGGAGGAAGUCCUGUAGUCAGUCAGGAAGUACAAUAUGCGAUUAAAUCCCGCCAAGUGCUCAUUCAGAGUUCAAGCUGGAAAGUUCAUAGGGUUGAUGCUGACAAAAAGAUACAUUGAGGCCAAUCUAGAUAAAUGUCAGUCAUACAUCGACAUGAGAAGCCCCAUCAUUGUCAAAGAAAUGCAAUAAUUUACAGGUCUCAUCACCAUCUUAUCUUUCUUCCUCUCAUGUGCUAGUGACAAGACUUUCCUUUUCUUUGCCACCUUGAAGAAGAAAGAAAGAUUUGAGUGGAUGGAAGACUGCGAGGAGGAUUUCCAAAGGGUAAAGGCAUUCCUCAUGUCGCCUCCUAUUAUCACUUUCCCGAGAGAGGAAUUUCCAUUACUCCUCUACCUCUCUGUUACAGAUCAUGUGAUGAGCUCAGUCCUCGUGCAGGAGACAAAUAAGGUUGAAAAUCAUGUGUACUUCGUAAGCAAGGUGUUCAGAGGCACCGAAGCACAAUACCAAAAUAUUGAGAAGAUGGAACUGGCUAUCAUUGUCAUGGAAAGGAAGUGGUGUCCAUAUUUUCAGGGGCAUAAGAUCUUCAUGAAAACCAUUUAUCUCGUUCAACAAGUCUUGAAAAAGAUAGAUAUGGUAGGAAGGAUGGCCUUUUGGGCUAUAAAACUCUCAAAAUAAGAUAUACAAUGCAUCCCAAGAGAAAGGAUCAAGUCACAUGCUCUAACUGACUUUGUUGUAGAAUUUAGCUCAUCCGUAGACGAGGAGCUGACCCCAUAAUGGAAAAUAUCAGUUGAUGGCACCUCAAAUCUAAAAGGUAAUUGCGCAUGAAUAGUCUUGGAAGGACCUGACAACUUAUUGAUUUAUCAGGCACUAAAGUUUAAGUUCAAAUCUAGCAACAACCAAGCAGAGAACAAAGCUCUCAUCGUCGGCAUGAUCAUCGGCCUAAAAAUGGAAGCCUCAUGACCAAAAGCCAAAAGUGAUUCCGAAUUGGUCACCAAACAGGUUUCUAGAUAAUAUCAGGCUAAAGAACCUCAGUUGAUAAGAUAUCUACGAAAGGUACAAAAUGCAUCCUCUCGUUUUACUUCUUUUUAAAUAGAACAUGUUCCAUACGAAUAUAACUUAAGAGCAUGCCUUCUAUCCAAACUAGCCACCUCAAAGACAAUAAUGUUUAAAAGAAAAAUGAUCCAGGAGACUCUAUGGAAGUUGUUCCUAAAGCUAUCUGAAUGUUGUCCAUAAUGUGUUGCUUGUAGGCAGAUGAAGUCCCACUAGACGAGGGGGAAGCCAUGAAAGUUCAAAAGCAGGCUGCUCAGUACACCAUUCUCUCAGAAAAAAUUUACAAAAUAGGGAGAGGAAUUCCAAUGUUACGAUGUCUAGAAGAACAUGAAACCACCGUAGUACUUGCCAAAAUCCAUAAAGGAGCAUGUGGCACCCAUAUUGGCGAAAAGGUUAUCGCCCAUAAGUUUCUUAGGGUGGGGAAAUAUUAGCCUACCCUGAUGAAGGAUAACAUCACUUUUAUCAAGAAGUGUGACCAAUGCCAGAGGUAUAUUGACCUCCAUAAUUCCCCCUUCGAACUCCUACAAUCAAUAACUUCACCCUAGCCUUUAUACUGGUGGGGCGUGGAUAUCUUGGGUCAAUUCCCUGGUGCAAGGCCAAAUGAAAUCUUAGUAGUGGGAGUUUAUCAUUUCACCAGUGGAUAGAAGCGGAAGUUGUUUCUAAAAUCACAACUGAAAGAGUUCUCCGUUUCUAUUGGCAGAAAACCAUGUACAAAUUUGGGCUUCCUUGAGAUAUCGUCUCUGACAAUGGAACCCAAUUCUUCAGUACUAUGAUAAGUGACUUUUGUCAAGAUUUAGAAGAAGAGACAAAGUUCAUAGCCAUUGUACAUCCGUAGGCCAAUGGGUUUGCGAAAUCAACAAACAAGGUAAUUCUCUGCAGGGACUGAAAAAGAAACCUGAUAACGCCAAAAGCAUAUGGACGGAACUGCUACACGAAAUAUUAUGGUCAUAUCACAUCAUCCUGAGUUCUACUACCAAGUAAACCUUGUUUGACAUGGUAUACAUAACAGCAGCCGUGGUGUCCGUAGAUAUUGACACGCCCUCGUGGUGACAGUCUCAGUUUAACCAAGAGGCAAACAAGGAGGGACUAGAGUGUUCAGUGAUUUUGGUAGAAGAAUUGAGAGAAGUCACCCAUGUCUGAUAAUUUUCCGCCUAACAUAGAGCCUCUAGAAGGUACAAAUCCAUAGUCAAGUUGAGGGAGAUGCGAGAAGGAAACUUGGUCUUGAAACAAGUGGUUAUGCCCGCUGAGUGGGGAAAACUGUAACCCAACUAGGAGGGACCAUAUCGUAAUUCUAAAAGCUUCCACAUGAGGCGUACAAAUUGCAGGAAUUAGACGGAAAAAUCCUACCCAGAACUUGAAAUGUCCAAUACAUGCAACUUUGCAAGCUUUGUUGUUUCUCAGCGACACUGAUCCACCAUCUUGAUCACAUAAUUCCUCAAACAAGUCUUUGUUUGGAGUCAUGUUUCAAGUACACCCUUAAUCCAUAAUCCACUCCUUGCUAUAGUCACUUCUUGAAACCCCCAGGACAUCAGAUGAUUCAUAACCAUCUUGCAUAAUGACUACAUUACCAUUACCCUUUCCACCAUGAUUAUUCACGUUCAAGGCACAUCUUUCUUGUAUGAAAAUCCUUCUUACAAUGAUAACACCUAAUAGCAGGAUAAUUUCCACCAUAAGAAUUUUGUAGAACUCUACGAUUCUUCUUGUCAAACCUACCACCUUUCUUUGAGAAUAUCCCCUUAACGGACAAAUCUUCACCAACAAAAGAUGACUUGUGCUCCUUUCGUUUGUUCAAAUCCUUAGAGUACAAGGCUGAUUUAACUUCUUCAAAGGUCAACGAAUCUCUUCCAUAUAAGAGAGUUUAUUUUAAAUGAGCAUGAGACAUAGGUAAAGCAUACAAUAACAACAACAUUUGAUCUUCAUCAUCAAUCUUGACGUCGAUAUUCUCAAGAUCAAGAAUCAACUUGUUGAACAUAUCCAGUUGCUCAACCAAUACUUUUCUUCACUCAUCUUGAAUGAAUAUAAAGCUUGCUUCAGGUAGAGACGAUUGACCAAAGAUUUUGUCAUAUACAAUCCCUUAAGUUUGCUCGACACACCCGCCACCGUUUUCUCCUUCGAGACCUGUCGGAGAACCUUAUCACCAAGGCUCAAUAUGAUGACACAGUGGGUUUUCUCGAUUAUCUUCGUCUUCUCCUUCUCCGUUAGGGCAACAUCGAUCUUUUUCGAUCCUUUCAACGCUUCUAGCAAACCCUGCUGAACCUAUAGGGCUUGCAUCUUCAAGCGCCAUAAACCAAAAUCAUUCACAUCGGUAAUUUGUCGAUCUUAUACUUAUUUGACGACAUCUUCUCUUCCACGCUCACCACACCAAUUUAUUAUGAAAGUGAUGCUCAGAAAACAUAGUAUGAUCGGUUUCUUGAUUAACAAGAAAACCACAAAGUAAAAGAAAAGAGUCUUGAUUAACAAGAAAACCACAAAGUAAAAGAAAAGAGUCUUGAUUAACAAGAAAACCACAAAGUAAAAGAAAAGAGAGAAGAGAAGAGAAAGAACAAUCAAAGCGGUUUAAAACUGAAUUCUUGAUUCAAUUACACAUCAUUGAACAAUGUUUACAAUUGAAUCUCAACCACACCACUUUCUCUCUCUGAUUAGGAGUACCUGAGAUUGAGGGAGAAGUGAGAACUAGUAUAUUAUUUAUAAGAAAACUAAACUCCGACUUUCAACUAACAUACUAAACAAUUGAUCCAACAAACUAGUCCAAUUUAACAUGUUAACUUAAACAACAAACUAACAUAUUUCUGCAUGUAAGAACAAACUUCGACUACAACACACAUAUCUUCGACUACUGUCGAACUAUGAAGCUAACCUUAUCGAGGCUAGAGUUCGAUCCAAAUACCACGUAGGAAAUGUUGUUGAUGUAACACAAUAUAUGCAAAUGAUAAGAGGCUUAAUGUAUUUGCUUACUGCUAAGCCUAAUAUCACCUUUUCAUUUUUCUUACAUGGAAUUACCAACUAAGAUUCACUUGCAUAUCUAAGAAGCAAGCUACAAUCACUAAUUCCAUCAUAGAAGUUGAACUUUUUACAGUAGCUUCUCGUGCAUCUCAUUGCAUUUGGCUUAUAAGAGUCCGUGAUUAACAUGUUCAAUCUCAAGAUUAACAGGCUGUAUUUUCUAUGACAAAAACUCCUCCAUCAAAUUGUCAAAUAAUCUAGUUAUUCAUGGCAAGUGAAAAUACAUAGGUAUGAGAUCCACUUCCUUAGAGAUCUUACAAGAGAAUGAGUGGUUAAGUUGAUUCAUUUCCGCUCACAAAUCAACUUUCAGACAAAGAAGUGUGAUUUGUAAAGUCAAGAUUGAUUUGCUUGUUUGUCAUAUUAAGAUGAAUUACUAAGUUCUCAUUGUAUAGUAAUGUUCAGUUUAGGGGGAGAAAUUGUUAAGAUUAAAGUAGUUAGUCACUUGGUUAGUUUAUUAUUUGGUUAUAAAGUAACUACAUUCUUGUGUAGCAAUCUAAGUAUAAGCUGUCAAGUUUUUUGCCCUGCUAUAACAACUUAUAUAUACUACAUAUACGCAUAAUCCUAAUAAUUAAGAUCGAUCGAUCAUUUUAUUACAAAGUUUUCACCAACACAUUAGUAAUAAUUUAGUGUAAAAGCAUAAGCACUAACUAUUUUUUUCUUUAUAAUAAAGUUUAUUGAUAAGUGUUUCCCAAUUAUAAUACAAAUAGUAAAAAGAUGAAAGAGGUUGAAAUUAUAAUACCAAUGGCAUUUACCAAGUAGUAGAAUGUUGGUGAGUACCCUUAUUUUGUUUUCUAUUUUGCAGCGUUAGAGUAUCAAAUGAACUUGGAAGAGGAAGUUCAAAGGCAGCAAAAUUUUCCAUUGUUAUAACAGUGCUCACAUCAUUUUCCAUUGGAUUUGUGCUAUUCUUGAUCUUUCUAUUCUUAAAGGAAAAACUUGCUUACAUUUUCACACCAAACCCAGAUGUGGCUAAAGCAGUUGGAGAUUUAUCGCCUUUGUUGUCAUUCUCCAUAUUGAUGAAUAGUGUCCAGCCUGUGCUCUCUGGUAAAUAUUUAACAUCAUCACAGAUUCUUACAUGCAAAAUUUCUCGUUUAUUAGAUAUAUAUCAGACGAUUCAUAUUUUACAUUUACGACAGAAAAAUCCAAAUUGAAUUGAUAAUGUUGUGAAUAUGUAGGAGUUUCUGUUGGAGCUGGGUGGCAAAAAGUUGUAGCAUAUGUAAACAUAGGAAGCUAUUACCUUAUUGGUAUUCCUUUUGGACUAGUACUUGGUAAACUUCUCCAUUUGCAAGUUAAGGUAAUUCAUUUAUCUUUGUAGAAUGUGAAAAGUUAAAUAUUAUUUCAAUAAGUUUAGAUGAUAGUGCUAAAUUUGUGUUAUUUUUGCAGGGUGUUUGGAUUGGAAUGUUGUUUGGAAUUUUUGUUCAAACAAUAAUACUUAUCACAAUCACAUUUAAAACUGACUGGGAUAAACAGGUAAUUGAUUUACUUUGGUUCUAUGAGUGUGAAAUCAAUAUUCAUUUUUUGAAGUGAAGAAGCUAAAAGUUUCUUAUGAAUUUUGCAGGUUGAGAUUGCUCGAAAUCGUGUUAACAAAUGGGCUGUAGUAGAGAAUGUUGAAUCAGACGACGCAUCAAAUAGAUCUAGCUAAAUAAUAUCAUGAGUUUUGUUUUGAAAAGAUAGAAGAAAUUCAUGAACUUAGUGAAGAAAGUUUAAUGAGGAUAGUUGUCUUAUUUGGUAUGCAGCCAAAAAUAAUUAUUAUGAUUUUACAAUCUGUCAUCAUAUGCUUCUUGAAUAGAGUGACAAUCAAGCUUGACGUGGUAUUGUGUCCCAUGUUUGAUUUUCUUCCAACGCUAAAAGUUUAUUUUCUAUAGUUGUUUGCCAACAAUCAUGAUCAAUUGCUAGUCUAUAAGAUGAGAGAAUAGGAACACUAGAUAAUGUCGAUGUCAAGGAUAAGGGACUAGAAAAAACCAUACAUUUAUGGGAGUUUACAAAUAUGUGUAUUGUGUCGUACAUGUUCUGGUUCUAGUUCUUGUAUUGGAUCAGUGGGCGAGGAACGAUCUUGAAGGGACUAGAAAAAUGACAUUUCAAGAGACUUGAUUUUGACGAAGAUUAGGAUCAUAGCAUAUAAAUUUGUUUUGAUGAUAGGAAUAUACAAGAAAACCGUGUGUUCUCCCUUGGUGGAAUUCUCAUAUAAAUUCAUAUUAAAAUACAAAUUAAAUAUUAUUGUGUGAGGCACUUUGAGUGGGAGAAGGAAUGAUAGAGAGAAUAAAAAGUAAUUGAUGAAUUGUUAUUAUAGAAAGUUGUAAAACUAAAUUACAAUUAUAUUCAUAUAUAUACAACUAUAUUACUUGUAUACUAAGUAACUAACAUAACAAACCCUAACCUUAACUGAUUUGGACUUGGACUACAACUUAAAUUAUAUCACAACAUACCCCCUUAUAAUUCAAGUUGUCGAACACAAACUAAUCAUAGUUGAUCUGAAUUAUUCCUAAUUUCUUUCUCAAAGUUAGGAAUAUAUCGAUCUUCAGUCCUUUGGUAAAAAUGUCAGUCAACUAUGUUUCACUCGAGCAAUGUCUCACUUCAAGUUCACCUUAGUUUACCUUCUCCCUUAGGAAAUGAAACUUAACCUUAAUGUGCUUACUCCUUCUAUGCAGAACUGAAUUUUUUGCAAGAUUAAUGUAUGACUUGUUGUCGAUCUGCAACACCAGAGGUUUCUUCACUUUGAUCUCUAUCUCUUCCAGCAAAGAUCUGGUCUAGAUUGCUUGACAAUUAGCAUAGGAUCUUGCUAUAUAUUCGGUCUUACAUGAUAAUGAUGCCAUCACAAGUUGCUUUCUUGAGCACCAUGAGAUUAGGGCACCAAAUACUUGAAAGAAGUAAACAAUUAUGCUUCUUCCAUUUUCCUUGUCUCCACACCAAUCAUCAUAUGCAUAUAAAUUAAUCACAACUUAUUUGCUUUCAGAAUCUCGUCAAAACAAGAUUUCGUAGUUCAUUGAUCCUUUUAAGUAUCUCAGGAUUCUUCUUGCAGACUUCAUAUGUGAUACCUUUGGUUCAUCCAUGUAUCUGCCUACUAAUCUGAAUGAGAAACCUAUAUCAGGUAUGUUAUUGCACACAUACCUCAAAGAUCCUAAAAUUUGUUUGAACAAAGUAGAUUCGACCUUGUCCUCCUCUCCAUGUUUCUCUAGUUUUAGAUUUGAUUGGAUAGGUGAUGAUGCAGGAUUUGAGUUUUCCAUUCUAAAUCUCUUGAGUAUUUAUUUGACAUACUUUAUUUGAUGUAGCAUCAUACCUUGCUUCGACAUUUUAAAUUACAUGCCUAAGAAAUAAGAUAAUUUUCCCAGAUUCGACAUUCAAAUUCCCUCUUCAUCAGCUCUUUGAACUUCAACAAGUUCUUCAUACUAUUUCUAGUUACUAGCGAGUCAUCGACAUAUAAGAAAAUGAUUUUUAUAUCUUGUGCCACACCCUGGACAUAGAAACCAUACUCAUACUUGCAUUUGAUGAAUCCCAAUUCGACCAAGUAUGAGUCGAUCUUCUUGUUCCAUAUUCUAGGUUCCUACUUGAGACCAUAGAGGGAUUUGUGCAACUUGUACACUUUCCUCGCUUCCUCCUAUAUCACAAACCCGGGAGGUUGUGUGACAUACACGAGUUCAUAUGGGACCAUUCAAAAAUGUUGAUUACACAUCUAAGUGAAAUGACGACCAACCUUGCUUGCAUGCCAAGGCUACCUCUAAUCGUACAAUCUCCAAUCUUGCUACUGGCGCAUAUACUGCAGAGUAGUCGAGUCCUGCUCUUUGAAAAAAUCCUCGAGCUACUAAUCUUGACUUGUGUCUUGCAAUCAAUCCAUCAUAAUUGUGCUUUAGUUUGAACACCCACUUCACUUCAAUGGAUUUUAUGUGUGCUGGCAAUUUGACUAGCUCCCAAUAUAUUAUUUCUUUCGAUCGCUUGUAACUCUUCGACCAUAGCUUCUUUCCAGUGUUUAUAUUUGAAGGCCUCUCUAUAGUUUAUUUGUUCAGAACCUGUAAGUAAAGCUAAAUGAACCAAAUCUCCAUCUGGUGUGACUUCAUCAUCACCAACCACUUCACAUUCUCGAAGCCUUGUGAGGAGUACUUUGGUCAUUUGAGGUCUUUGGUUUGUGUUAGCAACACCCUCUUCAACUUCAAUUGUGUUUGGAAUAUCAGCAACGCCUUCGACUUCGACUUCGACUUCGACUUCAUCAGUUUCUUCGUUAAUGCCAUAACUCAUCAAAGGCUUGUUAAUUGCAUCACCAGAAUUUCAAUCCCAGCUAGAAUUUUCAUCAAUCACGAUACCUCUACUCAUUAUGAUCUUCUCAUUGAUUGGAUUAAUAACAUGUAUGCUCCAGUUUUGUGAUAUCCUACUGUCAUACCCCAAAAUUGCCAUACAUCCUCAUUCAAUUCGCCUGACUUACGUUAAAAUCAUCUGCAUACAUGGUCCUCAAUUCAUUCAAUUAAGUCAUGCAUUUAACUCACCAUUCAUCGCAUUGUGUAUAGCACAAUUGUUAUGUCAAGGUUCGAUAAUAAUGGAUUUAAUCGCUUUGAGUUGAUUUUCAAGCAGGGUUAUUAUUUGGUGAUCAUUCGACUUUGUUUCUCAUAUCACUUAUGGUGCGAAACAUCUGUUUAUUUAGGAUUCCUAGUUUUCUGAGGGAUUGGAAUAUUUGUUAUUUGAUUCGGAAGAUAGCUUGAAUUUAAGGGAAAAGUCAAUGUUGGAAAUUCAAUGAAUACUUCAUUCAUUCAUGAAAAUUCAUGGUACAAUUCUUAUUACUUGAGAUACAAUUUGAAAGAAUCGAUUACAAGGAAAGAGGACAAAAAUCACAUCAAUUUGGUAAAGUUGACUUUUUGGUCAACUAUUGACUUUUAGUCAACUUUUGUUCAUUGACUCGAUUUUGAAUCCUAAUUUUUCCUAGACCUACCCUAUAAGCAUUUGAUCAAAAGAAUCAUCAUUCUUCAUCAAAAAUCAAUAAUUUCAUGUUUAUGUUACAUGUUACAUGAUGCAAGCUUCCAACAAUUUUUCAUCUUCCAUGAAGCUUUAUUUCUAUGGCUCUAUCUUCACUUUCCGAUGUCUCCCCGAGCCUAUUUUUCCACCCCAAUGCUCAAUUUUUUGCAAACAAGAAGAUACACCAAGUUAAUCAUCAAUAUCAUAGAUUGAAACCAUCCAAAAGUCACAAAAAAGUCAUGAGAAAAAUUAUGCACUUAGAAAAAAAUUUGCAUUAUAACCUUUGUUUUUUCAACAUUUUCCAACUUUGUUUCAAUCCGUUUCAUGCACAAAAUAUCUGAUUUUUGAUCCGUAAAUUUACACCACUCAAAAGUACUUAUUUUAAACACAAGACCACUUUCCAAAAGCACUUAACUUAAGUACAUAGUUUGAUUCAUAAAAAAAGCAUGGAAAAUGAUAAAAAUUCAAAAUAAAAUCAAAGUAAAUUCAAGGCAAUUUCAAGUUCUAACCAAGUGACCAUUUACCUUACCCCAUAACUUGGUACUUAUGCAAAAACCAAACAUAAAUGGUCUCUAACUAUCCUUAACUACCUAUUUGUCCACAUGCCAUCGUUUUACCUAAUUAGCCCUAACUUCUCUAACUAUCUAACUAACACAAUUUCUAACUUCCAACUUUCAACCAUUGAAAAAAACUUAACUUGGAUCAUAAUAUAAGGAUUCACAAUCAUUCACAAAAAACUAUAUAAACAUGUCAUCUUCUUCAAUUUGGGGGGUUAACCAUUUUGCACCACUAUUAACACCAUAACUACUUUUUUCAACAUUUUCUACAUUUUCUCUUUUCCACUCUCUAACCCUCACCAAAGUUCAUUAUUCAUCACAAUUUUAGGACUUCACAUUGAAGUUCUAAGCUGGUGGAACAAGGUCAAAGGAAUGGCCAUGAGAUUUAUCAUAGGUGUAACAAGGUCAAAGGACCUUGGAGACAAAAAUUCAUAAUUUUUGGAAACUUAAAAGUAUUUUUAAACAACUAAAGAUAUUCACAAAAUCAAUUAAAUCAUGAAAAAUAUUAAUAAUGAUCCAAAAAAUAAUUUUAAUUCAAAAAAUAAAAGAGGAAUUUAUUUAGAAAUUUUUGAUGAAACUCUCAUAUUUUUUGGAUCAAUAUUAAAAUUAAUAUGAAUUAAUGAAAAUAAACCAAAUAAAAUGAAAAUUAGAAAAUAAGAAAAAACGUGGACCACUUGAUCUCCCUCAUUAAUUGAGGUGGCAGAUCAAGUGGCUGCUAGCGUGCAUUAAUUAAUAUGAAUUAAUGAAAAUAAACCAAAUAAAAUGAAAAUUAGAAAAUAAGAAAAAACGUGGACCACUUGAUCUCCCUCAUUAAUUGAGGUGGCAGAUCAAGUGGCUGCUAGCGUGCAUUCCACCAUGGUCAUGAGUCAGCGUGAAACACAAGUGGUAAUCCAAACCAACGCGUGAAAUUAGAUCAUUUCAAAUGGAUCAUGUGGUUCUGAUGAUUGUCAACACAUCACCAGAGCCAAAGCUCCGGUCUCCUUCUCCGAUGAGCUUCAUCGGACCGGUUCACUCACAACCAUCACCAAAAAUAAAAGUAAGGACAUGAAUUUAAAGUAAAAAUGUCUCUGAGCUCGAAUCUGGCCUCAAUUUAUCCUAACUCCAAGUGUAUUGAGAGAUACAAGGAGUUGAAAUUUGAGGUGCACGAUCUGAGUUGCUUCGAUUUGACCUCAAAGCAACUCAAUCUUGUUGCCUAUAUUGGUAGGACUUCAGACAAUCAAGGAUCCAAGAGAAUUAUGGAGAAUUGAGUGAGAAUCGAAGAGAUGAAAAUUUCUGGAAAAUACCUUCAAUGCAGGUCUGUGCUUGAUUGAUCUUGCUUUUGCUUGCUCUUGAUCUUGUUCAAGACACUUGAAGAAGUAGAAUUGAAUGGAUGAAAAGCUCAGGACCCUUGGAGUUUCGAAUCUCAAAACAGUGAGAUUCAAACUCAAUUUCCAAUGGAAAUUAUCAAGGUUAUCCUUUGAAAUGAGAGGGUUUAAAGGUAUGGAUUCAAAGCUGGCGCGUAGGGUCCUCAAUUCUGAUGCAUAGAGCUUCUAUUUAUAGCCAAAUGGAUUGAUAUUUGCACACUUGAAAAUGAAAUCCAAAAAUAGCAAUGUAUAUCUGAUCCGCUGUCGCGCGCGGAUCAAAAACGAGUAUUUUUGACAAAACAUAGUUAGCGACAAAUUGACUCGGAUUAUCGUUCUCACAAGGAUUCUUGAAUGAAUUAACCAAUGAUAGUAACAAUUAAUGGGGUUUUGGUUGGUUUAGGAUUCAAUAAAAAAAUAGAUUAAAAUAAGUGAUUAUUGAAAUAAGCUGUAGCAACAAUUUACUGAUUCAGUCUUUGCCUAUCAUCGACUAUCGUAAUUCCAACCGCAGAUUAACUAUUCCUAUUCGAUUAUAAUAUCAACUGACAAGCGCAAUUGAUAGUAUAAGUUGUAUGUUCCUAUUAUCCGAAUUAAGCAAACGGGAUUAAGUUUCAUGAAUUAAGCAAACAUGAAUUAAACGGACUCGAUAACGAAUUAAGCAAACGAAAUCGUGACUAUAGUUAGGAUCACACAAUCAAUCGGAUUAAAUCAAUAUAGCAUAUGUAAAUCGGAUUAAGCAAACAAAAUACAUAUAUUAAUAUUGAAAGGAAUAAAAAACCUGAAUAAGAAUUACUAAAAUCUCAAGGUAUCGGAACCCGAAUACAGCAAAUUGUUUGGAUCGAUUAGUUCUUCAUGAGAAUUCUUGCCAAAGCUUUCAAGUAUUUCGUGAAUAGUGAUUUUUCCGUUCAAUUCCCAAUGGUGUACGGCUGCUAGACCUAGGGGAAAACAAAGACCCGUUUUACAACUCAACUGGGUCGACCCAGCCCACUACAAAUGACCCAACAAAAAUACAAAUAAAAUUCUGCAACUUCAACAGACUUUCUGGCCCUGCUACAGUCCGAUUCAGCUCUCGACUUCUGAACAAAAGUUGUAGAUCUUUUCCUUAGCUUUCCAUCGACUGGUAGCACGUCUCAAUCCGAUACUCCUAGCUCAAGAUAUGAUUUUUCUCGCGAAAGCUGCUAAUGCUGAAAAUUAAAUACGAAAAUUAAAUAAGUGCAAAAAUAACAUAAAUUAUGAAAACACAUUAAAACAUAAAAAUAAUCAAAGCAAACCGAAGAAAUGCUUAAGUACAAACAUGAAAGAACGUGCAUCAAAAUGCACUGAUCAAAUUCCCCCACACUUGAACUUUUGCACUCCGAGCAAAAUGAAAAACAAAACAAAACACAGACACAUCAACGGUUACUCAUUCUAGGCUACAAGUCAUCUUCGGUUAAGUUUGCUUCGAUAGGUACUAAUCUUGCACACUAAGGACAUUGUAAGAACACUAAUCCACAGUUAUGCAGACAUAAACCUCCUGAAUACACAAAUCAACUCGAAUCAUGUUAUUAUAUUAAAGCCUAACUUACUCAUCCUUCUUUGGCUCUUUUUCAUUCAGGCGCAAUCACAUUAAGCCCGUUAUCUCCACACACUCAUAGCAAGGCGACCGGUUAGUGACUCUGAUCCUUUUCUGCACGGGGUUCUGGUACUUAAGUGGCAUAACCCUUUGCUUACUCAAUUGUAGUUGCGGGGGAUCGGACCGUAAUCCGCCCUACCAAGUUCAGCACCAGAAACCGCUGAACCAACUGACAACGAGUCUUAUUUUCAAUUUUUUUUGAAGGUUCUACAUCCGUUGGGUUAAGAGACCGGGUGAGGGUUACCAAACUUAGAAGGUGCAUUCCCUUUUCUUUCUCUUUUUCUUUUCUUUUUCGGAACACUCACUUAUAUUCAUCGGCUUCCCUGCGUAGAGUGUGUGUGAGAUGGUGCUGACUGCUGAAAUAAACUACUCAAAAGCUGUCAGAGGAUGAGAAUGUAAGGCUAAAACAUAAUAAAAAUUCAACUCAAUUUCCAUAUGCAGGAGACUUACGUUGUUAAAACAAUACCGAUCUUGUGAAUUUUUCCCAAGUCUCCGCAAACUCGACCUCAAAUUAUUCUAUAGCCUAAAACUUUCAACAAAAAUGCAUUUUUUUUAGAAAGAAAACAAAAACAAAACAAAACAAAGAACAAAAACAAAGAAAAUAAAGUAUUCCCUCCCCCACAUUUAAAAUAUGCAUUGUCCUCAAUGAAAGAAACAAACAUAAAAUAAGAGAGAGAAGAGAGAGGAAAGAACACACCCGGCUAGUCAAGGAGGAUAGGUGAUCACAUAAGCAGCCUUUCCCAAAGAGAUAUAUUCUACAUUUUCUUCUUCCAAAGUGGGGCUGUCAUGGAAUAACUUUGGGUACUGUCCAUUGAACUUGAAAUUUUUAUUAGUAUCUUCGCCUUUUAUUCUAGGAUCAAAGAAUCUUCUAAAAGUAAAAGUGUCAAAUGGACACGUGAAGGUGAUCUGAUCUGGAAUGUCAGCCAAUGUCCAACCAAAUGCCUUUUUAUGCUUCCUUAAAACCUGCAAAAGCUUAUUUUCUUGAUCGAAAUCAAGGUUAGAAGAAAUUAUAGCCGGUAGUUUUUCAUUCAUCUCUAAAUAAGCAUAUUUCAUAUUUUCAGGAAGUUGCUUCAGCUCGAGGGAAGGUGGCUGCUCAAUAGAAGGAGUGUUUGGGGCAGCCGGGAUGUCAAGAGCUUUAUCUACAUGAACAACUUUAUUUGCAACCUCAUCUGCAGUAAGAAUAUCAACUUGCAAGGCAGCCUCAAUUUCAGCACAAACAGAGCAAAUUUUAGUUUCAGUACAAAUAUCACAAGAAUAAACAUCAUCAAAACCAGACAAUGAUGGAAAAUCAGAUGCAAACAAAUCACUACAAGUAUCAUCAACAAUUUCAGAAAUCAAAUCUAUUUGAAAAACAGAAUGUUCUUCCAAGGGUUGUUGGUUUGAUCCUUGAGCUUGCUGCAUGGCAUUCACCAAAGUGGCAAGCUGCCCAAUCUGUGUUUGCAAAGUCUUUAAAGUAGAAUCUACUUGUUGUUGAAACUGGAGAUUAUUUGCAGCCAUUUGUUUGACAAUAUCUUCUAGUGAAGGUCCAGAAGGUGCAGAGCACACAANNNNNNNNNNNNNNNNNNNNNNNNNNNNNNNNNNNNNNNNNNNNNNNNNNNNNNNNNNNNNNNNNNNNNNNNNNNNNNNNNNNNNNNNNNNNNNNNNNNNUGCCCAUAACCGCUUUGGUAAAGAUCAAACCUUAUUAAUACGUUGGCUUCUAUGUUCGCAAACAGAGGUUGAAUAGAUGGAGUGCAGUGUUAAUGGUUCGGGACUGAAGUAUUGCAGUGAAUGUUGCAUGAAUAGUCAUGAAUAAGAGGAUGAGCAUCAAAGGCUACGACCAGUGACCCCUCAAAAAAAAAACUGCUUGUAUACAGUGUUUACGCUCGUCCUUUAUUCUAGUCAUAAUAUUUCAGCGAUUCCAUGGUCUAAUUUGGUUUGGACCCAUGAGGGGAGUACACAAUUUAGCCUAACGCGGAUUUAAACAACAACACGUUGUGCGAUUGUGGAAUAAUUUAACAUCUACCGGCUUCUUUUAUACACGCAUCACAAACCUCUGCUACCCACCUAGUCAUGAUAAGGCAGUACCAACCUUAUUGCUAUGCGCUUAAUACUCGUCAAGAUCGCUCUAUAACAUACCCAUCUUAUCUUGAUGUGUACAAGGCCAGACACCAUCAUUGAAUGUAAUAUAGUAAAAGCUUUCAGUACUACGCAUGAGAGAUUACUGGCCUCCAUAUGAAGGAGAUAGUUGUUUGCACAAUGAAGAGAUGCGUAGAAGAAAGAAAGGCAAGGCUAAACAGCACACGUAUAAGAACAAGAAUGAUUCCACAUAAAUGAUAAGAUUAAAUUUAGUACUAUCGUCAACGAGGACAACAACAAAAACACUUCCCAAUCAAGGAGCAUCAUUCUUAGAUCUUAAGCUUAUUGUAAGCAUGAUAUCUAGAUCUUAAAGCUAUUUGUAACAUUGUAAUCUAGAUCUUAUGCUUUUUGUACAUUGUAUUUCUGUAACAAUGCAAUCAUUAAUAUCUUAAGUUCUGUACCUACACGAGUUUCAUAACCAACAUCAGUACAAACAUUUUGAAAACAUUAAUAAUUCUAACUGAUAGCAAACAUCAAAUUAAUAUCGUCUCGACCGAACAUUCAUUCCUAGCAUUCCAUUAUCAAGUCUUCAUUCGCACCCAACCAAAGAUACUGUCAAGUCUCUCAAUACUUCUGAUUUUCCCCUUCUGGUAUUUUCCCGUCUAACCAUCGACCAGCUCCCUCUUCAGUUGAUCUAACGUGCGUGAUUGUUCCAAACAGCAUCAGCAAUUGAGGUUUGUCUCUCGCAUAAAUCACCUUACCGUAUCGGCGACGAACACCAAACAUGAUAGCCAAAUGAUUAUAUGAAUUGUGAACAAUAGUCACACUACGCAUCUUUAUAUAAGACAAAAAAGGCAUUUGUAUGAGGACUCGGCAAUUGAGUUGGCGCCUCCUUUUAAAAACAUACACAUAGGCGUCAAUUGGAUUGACUAGGCACCUAACCCUAGGCUAGGGCAACCUCGCCAGCCAAUCCAAUUGGCCUACAUUCAAGUUUAACAACAAUCGCCAUAUGAAACAACUUUCAUGUUCAUCAAAUCCAUUUGAAACUUGGAAGCUCAUCAUUACAAUUUCAAACAUUAUAGGUCAUUACAUAAACCCUAAUUUGGGUCAAGUUCGCAGGGACCUAACUCACUCAUUUCUUAUUAUUUGAGGUGGACCAAGUGCAUGGAAAUUAAGAUGUCUAUUCAAAUGUUAUGUUGACAAAAAUUCAUAUUCCUAAAAGAAAACACCAUGCAAUAAUACAAAACAUUAUCGGUCAGAUAACAGUUAAAAAUCAGAAAGUCAAGUCCAACUUCAACUGCCCAUAACUUUCUCAUAAAAAAUCCAAAUGAUGCAAAAUUUAUAUCCAAAUUCAUUGUCUUGAAAAGAUCUACAACUUUCAUGUUGGAAGUUUUUUCAUUUGAGGUUUUUUUAAGGGAGGCGCCAAUUGGAUUGACGCCCCCUCUUAAAAAUUGCAAGGAGGCGCCAAUCCAAUUGGCGCCUCCCUCUAAAAGUGGGGUAUAUUGGGAAUUUUUUUGAAAACUGGAUUAUUUUAGGAAUUUCUUCGAAAAUGUGGGUUAUCUCGGUAAAUUUGCCACAAUUGGUAGUAAUAGCAUUUCUUUUUAUGGAUAGUAUAAAAGGAGUUUUGUGAAUUAACUAAAAAAAAGUUUUGUUUUUAUCCAUAUCAAAUGUCACCGUUAACAAUAAUCCACACAUUUAAGUCCUUCUAUAUGUAAUACUGGUAGCACGUGAUGUGACCCAGUGACUGGAUGUGACUUCACCUUCCCUAUCUAAAUUUCCCUAGCCCUUUUCAUUGUUCUUGUUACAAUAAUAACAUGAGGGUUAUGAUUAGUACUCUCUGGAUAUUGCUAUUAUAUUGUUCAAUUAUUACAAAUUAUUCAAUAGUAGCAGUAGCAGUAGCAGUAGCAGGUGAUUCAAACAAGUGUGAAUUUCCAGCCAUAUACAACUUUGGUGAUUCGAAUUCAGACACAGGAGGACUCUCGGCAGCCUUCGGUCAACCUGGCUAUCCUUACGGAGAAUCCUUCUUCCAUCAUGCUGCUGGUCGUUACUGUGAUGGCCGUCUUCUUCUUGAUUUCAUUGGUACUACUUUCUUUCUUUCUCUCGCUACUGCUUUCUAAAACUUAGGAUAAGAUAAUAUUUUUAUUUUCAACCUCAAAAUGGUUUCACAAGAAUGUAACUAUACUGAUUCAAACUUUUAUUUUUCAUAUUGUGGAUUGAAAGCUGAAAACCUAGACCUUCCAUAUUUGAAUGCAUUCCUUGAUGCUGUUGGAUCAAAUUUUAGCCAUGGAGCAAAUUUCGCAACUGCUGGAUCCACCAUCAGACCUCAGAAUACAACCCUUCAUCAAGUUGGUGGUUUCAGUCCUUUCUCUUUGAAUGUUCAAUUCUAUCAGUUCAAUGAUUUUCAGCGCAGGACCCAAAUUUUUCGCAAGAAAGGUAAUAAUGAAUGCAUACAUGUCUUAUUAUUCGCCGUACUGAACAAUUUUUUUCCCUCUUAGGUGGAAUAUACAAAACAUUGUUACCAAAAGCCGAAGAUUUUUCUCGCGCAUUAUACACAUUUGAUAUCGGUCAAAAUGAUUUGGCGUCCGGUUAUUUCCAAAACAUGUCGAUAGAUCAAGUUAAAGCUUAUGUUCCCGAUGUUUUGGAUCAAUUCAAGUAUGUAGUAAAGGUAAUAAUCCAUUUUGAUUUUUUGAUGCAAUUGGUGUAAAGUUACAAAGGAAUUAUAAUAGUGCAUAUGUUAUGUUUGUGUAAAUGCUUGAUUGAUGUGUAUAUAUAGAAUAUAUAUGAAAAUGGAGGAAGAUCAUUUUGGAUUCACAAUACUGGUCCUGUUGGAUGUUUGCCAUAUAUCAUAGAACUUCACAAAGUAAAACCCGAUGAAUUCGACAAAGCGGGAUGUGUGAUCCCGUAUAAUGAAGUGGCUAAGUUCUUCAAUCAUGAACUGAAAUCGGCUGUCGUUCAACUCAGAAAAGAACUUCACUUGGCUGCUAUAACCUAUGUUGAUGUUUACUCAGUCAAGUACUCUUUGAUUAGUCAAGCAAAGAAACAUGGUAAAUUUUGAACUGUUAUGUAUUAUUGGGCGGGUUUGGUUCACGAAAUGUGUUUUUUUAUGGUUUUGUUAUUACUGAUUGAAACAGGUUUUAAGGAACAUUUGAGAGCUUGUUGUGGACAUGGUGGGAAGUACAACUAUAAUAAUAAGAUUGGAUGUGGAGGAAAGGUUAAGAUUGAUGGAAAAGAGAUUUUGAUUGCGAAACCAUGCAAAGAUCCAUCUGUUGUGGUGAAUUGGGAUGGUGUUCAUUUAACUCAGGCGGCUAAUAAAUGGGUGUUUGACCAAAUUGUUGAUGGUUCUUUUUCUGAUCCUCCUAUUCCUUUGAACAUGGCUUGUCAUAAACACCUUUGAUUGAUGGAUUUACCAAAAACAUGUUACACGAGAAACUUGUUUCUUAGUUUGAUAGGAUUUUAUUGGAGCAGGAAAAUUGAGAACUAAGGAUUCUGAGUUUAAUAGAAUGUUUACUGAUGUUUGUUUCUUCCUUUUCUCUUUUGAACAAUUGAUUUUGGAUAGAAUUGAUGGUUGCUUCCUUUUUUCCUUACUGAACAAUUGAGUUGUGAAUGAAUGAGAUAGAAAUAUAGUUUUGAAUAAUAUAUUAUGGCAUAAUUUGAUUACAAGUAUAGUUAGAAAAGAAAAUUAAUUAGACAGACAUUACAUUUCUAUAACAUUAACAACAUUUAAACUAAAACAUCAAUAAAAAUUAGAGCAAUAAAUAUGGUUUAUUUGUUCAUACAUAGAGUCGGGUCCUUGCAGUGGCUGCAUAGGUGUUGUGGUUGCAGAGCUGGAUCUAAGUGUAAAAGGGGCAGUUGGAUCUAACUUGUAGAUCUAACCGCUCUAUAGUUGUAGCAUUAAUGUAAAGUUUACCAAAUAAUUUCACCACAUAAAAAGCUUAAUUUUAUGCACGAAAUCAACUUAUCUCCAAUUAAAUAGAAAUUGACGUAUUGAGCAACAUAUACUUAAUUUAAGUUUAAAGACAAACACAAAUGAAAGAUUUAUAUUAAAAAAAUAAUAAAAUAAUAAAUUAUAAAUUUGUAAUCAAAUCAAUACAUAAUUAUUAAAAUAAAGUUUCUAUAUUCAACAUAAAAUUUUCAUUUAUAUGUUUAUUAACAUGUGUUCUUAGAACACAAGUUAAUAUCACUCAUAUCUUAAUAAUGAAUGUCAUGAAUGAAUUAUCAAUGGCUUUUAAUCUAAGACAUGCGUUUCUAAUUCACCCAAUAGAAGAAAAUUGAGAUCAAUUGAGGAUUUUAGUGGCCCUACUGCUCUAGUUUUAGGAGAAGAGAAUUUGCAAACACUUUACCGUUCAAGUAAGUGACAAUCGUAUGUAAGAGAUUUUAGAGUAAGAAUAAUGUGUACCUAGAUCUGAUGCAUUCAUUAUACUUUUGUAGUGAGGUUCUAGGAUCUUUCAAGAACCUAGAACCUUAUGUUUAUUACAGUUGUACCAGAGGACACGUGUUUAAAAAUAUCUAGAAGUAUGAUAUGACACUCUUGCAAGUUCUGAAUGCUUAGUGUUUUUCUAUAGCAAGUUCAUUUUAUGAUUAUGUGGUACUAGAAUCUUAUUUGUGGAUAUCUUUCUUAGUGGAAUGACGUCAAUAGUCCUUAAUUGUCUAAUUUGAUGGUCCUUAGAACCUUCAUAGUUAUGUAAAUCAUGAGGGUGAUAUCAUUUUAUGGUUCUUAAAAACCCUGAGUCGUUUAGGGGCGGUUCUAUCAGGGAGUUGCAAGUAGGUGAAUGUCUUUUCUUACUUUGUGUGAACCUUUCUUCAAGUAUGUGUGUGCUUUUAUUUUUUUGGUCUUUUUUAUGGAUGAUCAAAGGGUUUGAGUGCCUUGCUAGAAUGGCAUCAUGAACGUUUUUUAUUGGCUAACACCAUAUUUAUUCUUUAGGAUUUAAGGUAUCAUUUUCCUUUGGUGCUCUGUAUUCUUUUCAAUAAUAAUAAUAAGUCUUUGUCAAUUUGUUUCUGAAUUUUGUUGAUCUUCUUUGCCCCCUUGUAACUAGUAGUCUUGGGAAUAUGAAUUCUUUGUGUACGGGCACAUUUAAUGUUAUUCUUAAAGUCAAUGUGUGGUGAUUAAGGCAUAUAGAGUUGAUGUGUAAUGACUUACAACAUUGGGAAUUUUGUUCUUGGCAUUGUCAUGCGGCUCUUGGUUACUAAUCCUAGUGUCUUUGGGUUCUUAGACUUUGUUCAUUGAGUUAUAUUUUGGGUUUUGUAGUCCAAAAAACUUCAAUAAAAAAGGAGUAUAUCUUUCUUGAUUUUUUCUCUCUCUUUCGGUCUAAACAUUGAAACUUUGAAACUAUGUAUAUUCCUAAAUGAUUCUUCUUAUAUUUCUAUUUCAUCAUCCAUUUGUUUCUUAUUCAUUGAGUUCUUUGCUGCUUCCAUUGCUAUGUAAUUUUCUAGGAAACCAUCAUUAUCAAGCUUCCAUUUUCUUCUAACUUUCCAUAAUUUCUUUUAUUCUUCUUCAUACGUUUCAGGAUCUCUUUUACUAGUAAGUUUGUAUUUUAUGUUAUUGGGAUUUUAAUAGUACCUUCUUGAUCUUGUUAAAUGGCGACAGAUUACCUUUUUAUGGUGGUGAUUCCUCCUUAUGAUGGCGAUGCCUCUUUGUAUCACAUUAUCAUCCCUUUAGUAGUUGUUUCAAUUUUGAAAAACUUGUUAAAGGGGUUUUAACGUGUUGUGCUAGGAAAAAUAAAGGGUGUGUUAUAUCUUAUCGUUUUCUCAUCUUAUUUUAUGAACAUGUUGGUGUGGCUAAGGAUCCAUGAUUUCCUCCUAGCGGACCUAAUAUCCUUGCUCUCAUUAGGAUCGUAUAAUUAUGUUUUGGAUGUGUUGUUGUGAUGUUCAAAUAUGAAUUUGUGAUUGAUUUUGUUGAUUAAUUGAUUGGUUGUGACUGAAUUCAUGUUUGAUUCAUCAUGUUUAUGCAUAUGAUUUUUUUUGUCAUUGAUGAAUAUAUGAAACUUUGAACAUGAGUGUAAAUGCUAGUGAAUGUGAUGAUUGAAUUGUAUGACAAAUUGCAUGUUAAUUGAUGUAUACGUUAUGGGAAUUGUAGAUAGUUGGUGUAUGAAGUUAGAUAUCUGAAAUAAGUUAUUUAGGCGUGUUGGGGCAUGUUUUGAUGGGGUUUAAAAGUGAUUAAAACUGCUGAAACAUGGAAUUUUGGAAAACUUACAGUGACCAAUUGAUUGACAGGGGAGAAACAAUUGAUUGGUUCCUUUUGAAAACACAAAAAAAUUAGACAAUAACUUUGGAGCAAUUGAUUGGUCCCCUUGAAAAUUUGAGAAAAAGGAAGUCAGUGAGAUGAGGAUAAUUGAUUGGUCCCUUGUGUCAAUCGAUUGGUCCUCUGUGUCAAUUGAUUAGUUCGUUACAUCAAUUGAUUGUUUCACUUGUUAUUUUAUCCAUAACUUUAGCUACAUGACUCCAAUGGAGAUGCAGUUUGAAGCGUUGGAAAGCUAAUGCGCAAAACUAUCCCAUGAUAGUGCUUGGUGGGAUAUUUAAUUUGUAGUCGUGUGUUCAUUAUAGGAAUGUAUGUAAUGACAUGUAUGAUGAAUUAGUGAGUCGUUGUGCUUACUUAAUGAUGAGUUGGUGUUAUAAUGAUUUAACAUGAUUGAAUGUUGUGUGAAUAUGCAUUUGAUGUGGUGCUUAUGUUUGGUGUUGUUUAUUAAUUAUCGUGACGUUAAUCAAUUAUUGUGUAGUGAGUAUAAUGCUAUGCAUCAUCGUGGUGAUUGUAUGGUGAUAAUUUUGAUGAUUAUUUUGGUGAUAAUUUUGGUGAUUAUUUUGGUGAUAAUGCAUGUUGUUGAGAGUCAUGCAUCAUGGUGUAAAAGCUUCGGUCCAAUUUUGGUGUGCUCUGAUCCAGUGGUAUGGAUUCAAGAGCGAGUAGCUGAUUCCAUAUGUGAAUCAAUGAAGCGUUACUUAUGGUGAUAGUAGAGUUUUGGUGUGCUCUGGUUUGAUGGUGUGGAUUCAGGAGCGAGUAGCUGGUUCCAUAUGGGAAUCAGUGAAACGUUACUUAUGGUGAUAGUAGCGAUUUGGCGUGCUAUGGUUUUAUGGUGUGGAUUCAGGAGUGAGUAGCUAAUUUCAAUGAGGAAUUAAUAAAUCGUUAUUAUAUGGUGACUAGUAGCGAUUUUGAUGUGCUUUGGUCCUAUGGUGGGGAUUCAGGAGUGAGUAGUUGGUUCUAAAUGGAAAUGGGUGAAGCAUUACUUAUGGUGAUAGUAACGGUAUUGGCGUGCUUUGGUCCUAUGUUGGGGAUUCAGGAGCGAGAUGGACAUGUGUUGUCCAUGAAUGGUACCGCAUGCAGAAUGAGUCAGUUGUGACGUUCACCGCAUACAUGUUUACAUAUGUAAUUGAUUGUUCUUGGUGUUGUUGACUGGUUGAGAAUAUCUGACGUAGUUAAUAAGUUAGUGUGAAUAGUGUGUAUACCUGAUGAAUAUGCAUGUUGUUAUGAAUGGGUGUGAGACACCUUAUUAUACAUUAGUGGUUUGUAGUGCUUUGAUCGUGUAAGAUUGAUGACGAGAGUUUGUUAUAUUUUAUGUUGUUGUUGCUUUCAUUGUUUUGGAAGUCAUCACUUUAUUUAUGAAGUUGUUAUGAAAUGUUUUUCCACUGCGUAGUUUUCAAAUGAUUUGAUAUGUUUUUGAAGGAUUGUCGUUGGUAACAUCUUAAAUUAUCGCGUAAACCUUUUAAAAUAAAUUUCGAGGUUUAUGGUGUUUCAUAAUGCACCAACAACAUUUCAACGGUGUAUGUCGGCCAUCUUUUCUGGCUUGAUUGAAAAGUGCAUUGAGGUGUUCAUGGACGACUUCUCAGUUUUUGGCCCUUCUUUUGAUCUAUGUUUGGAAAAGUUGGGCACCAUACUGAAGCGGUGUGUGGAAACAAAUCUGGUUCUUAACUAGGAGAAGUACAACUUUAUGGCGACCGAAGACAUAAUACUCGGCCACACAAAAUAAUUAAAAGGCAUUGAAGUGGAUAGAGUAAAAAUGGAAGUAAUUGAGAAACUUCCACUACCAUUAAAUAUCAAAGGAACCAGAAACUUCUUAGACCAUGCAAAAUUCUAUCGAUAAUUUAUCAAGAUUUCUCGAAGAUCAUCAAGCCUUUAAACAACUGAUUGAAUAAAGAUAAGUCAUUUAUUUUUGAUAAUGCAUGUUUGCUUGCUUGAAGGUUUAAAAAGAUAAAAAAUAUACAACUAAAAAGCACUUAAACAUAAACAAAAAAACAAUUUGGGUCAAACGGUGCAUAUAGUAUGCACGGGUGUAACUAGCAAAAGUCUUUGUAAAUUUCACAUUAGAGAUUGCCGGUACCGGUGCGGAAAAGGCCACACAACAAUCGGCAACUUUGUUGAUUUUCGAAAAUGGUAUCUCUCCCUGACGAACUUUGGAGCAGAAUUCUCGAAAUCGGUAUCGGAAACAGCACUUUGACCUACAAGGACCUCUGCUGCGUCUCCAUCACAUCCCGUCUCCUUCAUCGCCUCUCCUCCGAACACUCUCUUUGGAACCGCCUUCUCUCCUCCGACUUCCCUCUUUCACCUUCUUAUUUUCCUUCUUCUUCAUCGUCUUCUUCCAAAUCCCUUUAUAAACUCAGGUAAUUUUGAAAUUCUGGGUUUAUGAGUCUUUAUUCUUUGAUUUUUACAUCUGGGUCGAUGUAAAGUUCAUUUUUAAUUCAAUUAAUUUAUACUUCAUUUUGGUGAUUAGGUUUGAGAGAGACAAGGAGAGGAAAAUAGCAGCUCAUAAGAGGGCUGUACUGAGAAAGGAGAGCCAGAUUUCCGAACACUCUAGAAGGCUCCAUGAUAUUCAGAAACUCGUGUCUCAAGAAAAAAUCAAAGCUAUUCAAACUUCUAAUGAGUUCUCACAUUUGCUUAGGGUCAGGUACCAUAUAGGAUUUGGCCAAUUGUUCUUGUUGUGAUUGUUAUAGCAUUAUAGGCCUGUUGCAUUUAUUAAUUUGCCUUGGUAUCUUUUGUGUGUGUUUUGUUGAUAUGAGUUUUGGGGUUUGUUCUUGUAGAGAAGCUUCUGUAGCUUUGAAUGUAUGGCAACCCGAGGUUGUCCGGGGUCGGCAAAAGCAGAUGGUGGAACAAUGUGGUGUGCCCGCCGAAUCUCGGAUCCGUACACUGGAGAUGGAACUUAAGCUUUGUAAGCAGCAGAUUAUGGGGUUGGAGAAGUCUCAUGUAAGUAUUGAUGUUAGUAUAUGACAUGUUAUCUAUGAAGGGGCGAGAGUAGUUGUUAGUGUUACUUAUACGAAAUUGUACCCAGAGAGACGAAAAACGCAGGCUUGAUGCUGCAAAAAAAGAGUUGGAAUCUAUGAAGUAUCAUCCUCUCCAGGAGAAGAAGCGCGUGAGUGGAGGGGAGAAUGAACGGAUCGUCAAGCAAAAGAAGUUGAAAAACUGCAAUAGCUGUGAGUCUGGCAUCGUUAGUUAUUGUUUUGAUUACUGCUUAUGUUGGAAGUGCAUGCUCUUAUCGGUCAUUUGUCUCAUUGUUUAGUUUGGUUGCAAACACUAAGCUACCUUCUUUGAUUGUGCAGUGCGUGAAAAACAAUACAAAACACAAUGAGUCGAUGUACAUUUUGCAACAUGAUGCCAAGAAGAAUGCUAUAUUGCUCUAAAUUUAAGAAUUUGAUGUCAUUGAUGCAACACUGUAUUCUAUGCUCUGCUGCUACUUAUAUGAUGAACACUAGUAAAUAUCAUAUUGUACAAACUCUGCUGCUACUUGUAUGUACGUUUGUGCUGUUUAUUGAGAACCUUAAUUUUUAUGCUUUACUAGUGGUUGGAGAACUUAUGUGUUAAACAUGAUACUGCAGGAGUUGUUAAGUGAACUUUUGUGUCAGUUUUCUUCUGUUACAUAGUACUGAUCAAGACUAUAAAAGUUGUUAUAGAAAUUAGUUAGUUGAGAAUCUUACAAGGCUAUUUGAAUAGUCAAGAAAAUGCAGUGUAGAGUUGAUUAUAUUAUUGAUCAUUGUAAGCAAUUGUGAAUAGAAUAGUGAGUAUAAUACAAAGGAGAAAAUCUUGAUUUUUUUUCCUGAAAUAACCAUUUUUUUCCUAUUAUAUUUCAAACUAACCAUCUUUCUCUCAUAAAUUCCAUUCUACUAGGUGUCUUCCAAACCGAAUCGUCAAACCAAAACUGAACUGAAGUUAAAAUAUCAUUAAAAUAACAGAACCGUUAUGUUUGUUCAGUGAGAACUGAAAUGAAUCGUGAAACCAUUUUUCAUAAACCCUUGUUCAAAAUAAAAAUAAUACAAUCCAUAAAACCAAUUUUUUUGGCGAGCACAAUAACCAAAAAAAUUUAGAGUCCCAUCACACUUUUUGAAAAUAAAACAAUAAAUCAGAUAAAUACCCGCAUACGUAAACAACCAAAAUGGUUUUCAUGGAGUACCAUGGACGUGAGGGUGCUAAUAUUUUCCCCUUGCGUAAUCGACUUCCGAACCCAAGUCUCGGUUGUGAGACUGAUUCCUUAUUCCUUUUUGUGCUUCCCGUGCGCAUCUCUUUCUCGAGGAUUUUAUUGACUAUUUCUCCUCUUUGAUAGAGGUAAACCAAAUAAAAUUCGGUGACGACGCUUCUGAUAUUGCCUUCGAUAGACAACUCUUUAGUCCCAGUUUCCCUCACUCUGAUUAAAACCUCGGUGGCGACAACAUGAUUCAGAUUGGUUUGUAUUGGAGGGAGAUUUUUGACCGUAAAAUGUAGAAUUAUAUUUUCACAAUAUCCUUGGUGUACGUCUAGUAUCUAUCAAGUCAAUUUUGGCCGAAACGGAUUUUGUAGUCACAUAUGAGUAUUUAAGUGCUAUGGAUUCUUUAAGUCUUUAUAUUAAAUUUGAUGCAUUUACACAAUUUUCAUAUUUGCUAGCAUCGUACUUGAGGACAAACAAAGAUUCAAAUAUGAGGGAGUUUGAUAACCACAAAACACAUCGUAUUUUCGACUCGAUUCACGUGAUAUUUUAUCUUAUUUUGUCUCCUUUUUAUGGUGUUAUACUGGUAUAUUAUGCCUGUUUCAGGUAUUUUCCAAUGAGGGACAUUCGUGCGAGAAAUCAGGACGAAAAUGACGAAAAAUUGAGAAAAGACCAAAUUUCUGCACUCAUGGCGUUUGCCAUGACGUGACAGUGAUGGAGCGACUUAAGCAUAAAACAAAAGUUAAAAGGGGCUCACUUCGGCGCUCAUGGCGUUUACCAUGACGUGGCAGUCAUGGAGCGACUUAAGCAUAAAACAAAAGUUAAAAGGCAUGGCGUUCGCCAUAAGACCAUGGUGUUCGUCAUAGACUUCAAAAGUCAUGUUAUUUCCAUUUUGAACUCACGACAUUCACCAUGGACUUUGAGGCCAGAAAAAUAACAACAUAAAGACCAAGCUCUCUCCCACUUCAUCACAUUUUUCUCCCACAAUUCCAACACGAUUUUGAGACGAUUUCACCAGUUUCUAGCUCUAUAAAUAGCCUUAGGAUUUAGUUUUUCAUGAUUAGAUAAUUAAUUUUAAGCAGAAAAUCCACCAUUGUAAAGUAGUUUUUUCUCACAUUGAGGAAUUACUACACUUUAGCAUCUUAAUCUAGGAAGUUUUGGUACGCACUUGGAUCGAUAGUAAGAUAAUUUUGUCGGAAUUAUUUUCAAAAUUCAAUUACAGAAUUUUAUUGCUUCCAGAUUUUAUUUGCAGGUUCCAAUUUAUUUAUCAAUUUUUAAUAUUUGUCUUCAUUCUGCACUAUUAUUAUUAUUAAUAUUGUUACUACUUUUUAUUUUUGUUCUUCGUACUGCUCAAUACCAUAUAUAUAUAUAUAUAAAACCACUGUUUUUAUUCUAAAAUCAAAUAAAUUUUAUGUUCAGAUUGGUUUAUUUACAAUUCAGUAGUAGUAUGUCAAUUCUAAUAAUUAUGUUCGGCUAAACUCUUAGAUUUCGGGAUGUGAGGACCGUUGUUCUGACAGAACUCGGUAAAAUAAAAUAUCACUUAUUUUUAAUAUUAAAAUAAUAUUCUAGUUCUAAAUUUUGUUUCGAAAAGUUAAAAUUUUCUUGUAGAUAAACAACCAUGCUUGAUUAAUAUAAUCGACAUAAUAUGGGAUGUCAACGCAUACUAGCUUAAAAUGUUGCAAGUGUUGCUCAUAUUCCACCACCCGCUUAGAAUACAUAAUCUUACUCCAUAAACCUGUCAUUGACUCUUGUCUCUUAUCCUCAUCGAGCAACUUGCAUUUUGCCCAAACAUUUUAAACAAUGUGAAGUAUACAUAACAUGUUAAAUGAUGUUGGAAAAAGAAUUUCAAUUGCAUUCAUCAAAGUAAGUUGUCAAUCAAUUAUCGUAACCUUGAAAAUCAACAUCUUCGAGCUAAAUAACUCCAUAAGAAUCUCUAGUUGAUGUAGCACAGAAGGUCAACAUAGUUUCCCAUUCAGGUUCCGACUAAGCAAACCUAACACAUAAGGUCAACUUUGUUGAUGUAACACCUAAAAUUUCAAGUAGUGGGAGUUGAUAUCUAUUGGUUUUGUUCAUGGAGUCGAACAUUAGCAUCAAAUGAAACAUAUUCAAAAGUUUCACUGAAUCACGACGUGUCCAAAAUACAUCCCCCUGAACAUCAGAACCUUCCGUAAUUCUUGUCCAAUACACAUGUUUCCCACUGUGAAUUAAACUCAAGGGGGUUGCAUUUUGGUGUAUGGAUCUCUCGUAGUAAAAUGAUGUGUAUCUUGUGCUCUGUACGCUUGCGUGACAUUCUUCUGCAUUAUGGAUUAUGAUAUUUCAAUACACCAAUUAUAAACCUCGGUGCCAUGUGGUGUUUCGUCAUAUCAUUCACAAUCAAUCUUUCACAUGAUUAAGUGACCAACAAUAUCAGAACCACCUAAUUUUGUUGUUAGAUCAUGAUAAUGAAUACCAAAUAUAACCCUAAUGCCAACUACGACCACUAGGAACAUAUUUAAGCUUAAAAGGAUCUUUCAUCCUUUUAUUUCCAUCUACAUUAGUUUUUUUUUCUACUAACAAAACAUUUUUAACCUACUAAUUUUUAAGGGGUGAAAAGGCAUGUCAAUCCAAUAGACAACGUAUUUCAUUUUGUAUAAUAUAUCUCAUUUAAUAGAAUAAGACCAUAUAUAAAAUACCAUAAUUUAUAUAUACACAAUAUAUACCACAUUUAAUAUAAAUAUUUGAUGUAUUAUUUAUAAUGCACUCCAUAUUUACUUUUUUUUCUCUUGAAUGAUAAGUUGAUGAUGAUUAAUUAAUAAUAUUUUUUUAAAAAAACUGCAAAAAUUUCAAAAAUAUAAAUUAUGAGAAGAGUAAACUUGAAUUAUCGAAAAUAUGUAGGGGCGAAGGUGUAGUAGACGUUGCAGCAGAAGGUAAAAUUCUCAAAUAAGUGGCAAUCUCGUAGUAUUUUAUCAACGAAUAAAAUGCAAUCUCCACGGUCAGUAAGAGCAAUAUCAAUCAACGAAAUAUAAAUACGACACGUCAUCGAUCCGCACAGUGCAGUUUAUUCCAAUCAGAACUCUUCUCAUAAUCCUAUAUAUAUAUUCUCUUCAUUCCUCACAAAUCAUUCAACACUCCAUCUCUGUAUCAACCUCUCUUUUCUUCCUACGACCAACCCAUCAAUUCAACCAACAUCACCAAUGGCUCCAACAAAGGCCGAGAAGAAGCCAGCCGAGAAGAAACCCGCAGCAGAGAAAUCCCCUGCAGAGAAGAAACCUAAGGCUGAGAAGAAGAUCUCGAAGGAAGGAGGAAGCGACAAGAAGAAGAAGAAAUCCAAGAAGAGCGUUGAGACCUACAAGAUCUACAUCUUCAAGGUUUUGAAACAGGUUCAUCCUGAUAUCGGAGUCUCCAGCAAGGCUAUGGGAAUCAUGAAUAGUUUCAUCAACGACAUCUUCGAGAAACUAGCUCAAGAAUCCUCUCGUUUGGCUAGGUAUAACAAGAAGCCAACUAUUACUUCAAGGGAGAUUCAAACCGCUGUUAGAUUGGUACUUCCUGGUGAAUUGGCCAAACACGCCGUUUCCGAGGGUACAAAGGCCGUCACCAAAUUCACCAGUUCUUGAAUUAUGUGAUAUGGUACCUCCCUGUUAGGUUUAAUUUGGUUUUUUUUUUUGUUAAAUUAGGGUUUAUCUGGAGAUUGUUGAUGAAAUGUAAUGAAUUUUAGUUUUAAUAAAUGGUGUUUAAAAUUGUUCAUAUGAUUGUUUUAUUUUUUUUUUCCAUAUAUUCUUUCCAAUUGAUUCUGGCUUGUUAAAC